UGGCACAUUCAUCGGACCCUCACACACACAUUGUUUCCGGGUAAGAUCAAACGCAGCAGCAGCCUCUCACAGGCUGGGCGUCCUCUCGGCGGCGCCGGAGAUGACGGUGAGCAGGUUGUUGCCGAAGGGGUCGCUGAGGUGCUUGGCGAGGUUCUCGACGGGGCCCUCGCCGGUGACGUACGCCUGGAUGAAGAAGGCGAACAUGGAGAACAUGGCGAGCCGGCCGUUCUUGAUCUCCUUCACCUUGAGGAUGGCGGCCUGGUCGGGGUCGCUGGCCAGACCCAAUGGGUCGAACGGGCCGCCCGGGUGGAGCUUGUCCUCCAGGUCCAGCCCGUUGAUGAUCCGGUAGUACUCGGCGCCGCCGACGAGGACGACCUCGGCGAUGACGGCAACCACCAGGUUGAUGGGGAUGCUGUUGCCGAAGUAGCUGAGGGUGUUGCCGUCCAGGAGCAGGGCGCCGGUCUGCAUUGUAUUACGGUGGCGCCGCCAUUAGUUCACAGUUCAGAAUUUCAGUUUCAGAGAUUGCAAUUGCAACUAUUCUACCACUGAAAUGUGUGGUCUUUGUGAAACAAUGUUGAGUUCUUUUCUUUUUUCAUAAAUUCAAAUGCGCGCGAUUGUCCGGCACAUUUGGGGAAGAGAUUGCUACUCAAGUAUGAAGAUUCUUAGAGGUGGUGAUCAGGACCUUGAACCAGACGGCCUCAGGGCCACAGUUGGCGCCGAACUUGUUGCAGGCUUCGGGGAUGACGGCACCGGCGGCGCCGAGCAUGGCCCACCUGGCGUGGAUCAGCUCGUAGGCCUGGUACCUGCAGGGUGAUGGUGUGUGAGGUUAGAAUCUCGAAGUUCAUCAGUGUGCAGGCGAUUUGUUAGGGACAGAGAUAUUCGACUCACUUGGCGAAGUCCUCUGGCUUCUUGCCGAGGCCAAAAGGGUCGUAGCCAUAGCUGCAAGUAGGGCAAGAUAGUUCAGUACAGAUGCACUCACUAAGAUUUUCUGCAGCAUUUCAUUUGAACCAAAGGUAGAAACAAUGACAGACUAAAUAGAAGAAGACUACAGCUUAUAUGUGUGAGAAAAUUAGUCAUAUCUUCAAUUUAAAAUGCUGGUUUGAAUGCUUGAGAUGUCUGUGCUUUCGGAAUGAAUUUGACAAAUAGCAAAGCUGCGCCAUUUGGCUAGAAAAAUCUGAAUUUCACCACCAAACUACUUCUUUUCACAUUUUUUUCCAUUUUCUUCUAGAACAUGAUAUGAUGUCUAUUUUUCCAAACCAACAAGGGAGUACUUAGCCUUAUUUCAACCAAACUACCAACUGAAAUCUAAAUUUUCUGAAACCAAUGUAACUCCAUGGGGAGCAAAUUAGAGUCAUGUGACUUACUCUCCAGGGACCUCUCCGGUGAGGUACUCCGGCACCUCCGAGCGGUCCAAGAGACCAUCCGGCAGGUAGAUCCUCCUGUCAGGGCCUAUCAAGACAGGAACAAAAAAAAAAAAGGAGACAAUCACUACACAAGAAGCUUCUGAAAAUUUUCAUGCCAAAAAUUUUCAUUCCUAGAAGUCGAGGAAUCUCAGCAGUCAGGUACCGGUCUACUCACCGUACCACUUGGCGAGCUCGUCGCUGAUGUCCGGGGAUGAGGACGUUACCGCGGCGGGCUUCGGCUUCUGGGCAGGCUUCUUGCUGAAGAGAGAGACGAUCUUCUGCGCUCCGGCGGUCGGCGCAGCGGUGGCGUACCGUGAGGAGCCGGCGAAGUUGAUCUGGGUGCCGAGGAUCUUCGAUGGAGCGAGCGCCGCCAUUGCCACAGACCCACAGUUCAGAGGAAGAAUUGCAGGAGGGGGAUGGCUGAUGGGCGUUUGUGGAGGAAAAGGUGAGCUAGUUUAAAUGGAUGGAAAUGGGGAUCGGAGGAUGCUGUGGGCCCAUCUGAGAUUUGGCCAUGGGAGCUGCCAUUGGCUGGGUGCCCAGGAGGGCUAUCUGUUGCUUGGAUGCGAUUGGGCAGGCUGUGCCGACUUGGCAGAUGAGGAUGCUGAUAUGGCAACUUUAGAGGGCGCUGAUGUGGCAGCAUUAGGGCCUCUGGUGAACUUUUUUGUCAGUAGUAUAGGGACUAGCAAACAUGAUAGAUGGAGACGGAGGGAGAACCAACCAGUGAUAGAGAAAGAACCAAGACAGCAAUUCCAGGCCACACACUGGUACCAAGAGGGUGAAAAACACGCGCACAAGCACAAAUCAUAGUUCAUCUGAAUCUCACACAUCAAUUCAUUCUAAAAUUUAAUAUCUGUGAUGAGCAACCCAGCACCAGGGACAUCACUCAACACAAUGGCAUGUAACUAAAUAUAUCUACCAGAGAUCGUCGGCCUCAUUUCAGGAUCCUACUUAGAUACAAAGCUACUAACUGAUGAGCAAGAGAAAGCCAUACGAUGCGACAGUCUGGAUUCUAGAUCUAAGUGCCACUGCUUGUUCAAGAUAAACACUGCUUCUAAUCUUCACUUGAUGCACCGCAGUUGAAGGCAGCUAAUAUCGACAAUGACGCGGUGGUGCAGCUCAACGCCAUUUUUCGAUCCCUUUUGAAGUUGCCGUCACAAGCUUCUUGGUGUUGAUAACCAGCUCGUCGAAUAAAGCAACAACAGUGUCCCUGGAAUAGAGGAGGAAGAAAUGAUGAAAACAAUAAACACUGCAUUACAAUAGUCAUGUUCUUUUACUAGCCAAAUUGGGAUACUGAAAACAAUGUGAGGUGCAAAAGAAACAAUAGGCUGGGAGACCAAACAAAUCCAAUGUAAUUUAUGGUAUCAGACAAUAGUAUGUCCUCUAAUAGAAGAAUUGAAGUUUUCGUUCUCACCGAGAAAUAAAAUACUGAUAGUAAUAACAUAAAAUUUGAAUGUAGAUUAGAGGAAGUUCCUAUUUAUGUUAUUUAUGUGCAAGCACUUCUUGUCACUCUCACAGAACUAUACCUUUACCGCUACUUCAAAUAUCUCGGUACAUUUCUGUUAACAUCUGAUGGAAUAGGAUUUCGAAGAAUUUGCACUAGCCUUCUAAUAACUGGUCAAUUCAUCGACUAGGCUGUAGUACUUAGGCGAUUUAAAUGAUGUUAGGCAGGACCUUUAAUUUCAGAAAAGAUGCGGUCAAACUGCCAAACAUUAAUGUAAGAGCAAAUAUGGAUAAUGAUAAAUUAUCAGUAGAAUUAUAAUGAAAUAUCCAUUAUAGGGCAGAUCUGCACACAGAUAGUUCAGAAAAUACCACUAAAAAUAGGUUGUCCAAUUUUAUCCACCCACACCCAAGACCCACCCACUAAUAAGAAAAGAUGUGAGAAAACCCUUCUCCAUCAUCUUUCUUAACCUAUCUUCGUCCUCCACUCUCUCCUAAACCAAGGUUAGUGUGCCUGAAAUAAGCCAGUUGCUCAAUCAGUAGCACCAUGGUGGGCAACUUGUUGCAACCUAUAGAACAACAAGUGCCCUGUCUGGUCACACAAGGCAUUUGAAGUUGAGACCUCAGAAUACGUAGAUACUCCAAGGCAGCGGUUGCACCUGAGUUUUCAAGGUUUGGCCUAGCACUGAAGGCAAGCCAUUCCUAUUUUCUCUACUGUGGACAUUGGACAAGCAGCUUUGGAAAACAUGCAGGGCAGGGAAUGGCCAAGCGGCUGUGGAGAAAAUAGAGAGCUAAAGAUGAGUGAGCGUGGAUUGUUCUGGGAUUUUGAGGUUAGUGGUGGCUACCUUAAAAAGUUUUAGAGUUAUGGUAUCAUUUGGUGGUGUAUAACCAUAUUUUUCUGUAUGAAAUUGUGUGCUAAUAAAUUAUGUUAUAAGUUGUUCACAGACAGUAGAGUUCAGUUACCUUAAAAGUGAGAUUGCUUGACUUGUGAUAUAUUUUUGUUUUCGCUUUAAAGUUUAAACAAAUAACAGUAAAAUUCUAUCAGCUUGCGCUUCUAAUAUUAUUUGCAUCCUGCAUGACUCUAGUCCAAAAAAAUAACCAGGAAUUUCUCUCUAUUUAUUUUUAUUGACUAUUACGUGUUAUCAGGAUAAUGAGUUUAUUCAGUUAAUCUCAUUACCAACUUGACUUCUAGACUGCACGCCACAUAUGGAAGAGUGAAGGUACAAUAGUGCUAAGCUUGAAAAAGGCAAACAACAAAGUUGAAGUUAAUGGUAUUAUGGUUCAUUAUUCCAGCUUAGAAUGAUGUAUGUGAACUCCAAUUGUUGAUAGUACAUGGCAUUUGAUUAUCCAAUGUGAUGAUUAUCCAAUGCUAAUUUCAAAUAGAAGUGGAAAUUCAAACAACUUAGAAUUGAAAGGAAUUAAUGGAACAUGGUUAUUGAAUCAUAUAUUUAAAAGUUUAUUCAUGAACACCGAAAAAAUUCAUUUAAGACAUACUGUGAAAACUGGAGAAAGCAUAAUAAAAUCGAGAAAAAAAUGAUUCUUCCAUAAUUAAGACUCAUGCUGCGAGUUAUGAAAACUAGCUACAGUGCACAAGAUAAUAUCAUGAACUAAAACAUUUGCCAGAACAAAUAUCAUUAAAAAAUUUCCUAUGUCUGGAAUAUACUCACGUAGGCAGAUGUGGAGCUUCCUGGAACAUCUUUCCAACAUUUGAAUAUCUUUUGUUUUCAUCAUAUGCAAUUCCUUUGCCCAUGCCGUAACCAAAACCAAUUCCAACACCGCAUCCAGCUCCAACACCAAAGCCUAAAGUGAGUCCAGGAAACCCAAAGCCUAAUCCCGCACCUAAAAUAAUCAGGGAAAAAUAUAAGUACGCAGGCAUACAGCAUUUAUGAAGAAAACAAUUCAUGUAAAAAGGGAGAGCGUAUACAGGGCAACAUAGGUAAAGAUAUUUACACAUGAACACUAGACUUUACCAUGACUAUUUUCUACAAGAAUGCCCCCAUAAAGUACUUCCAUAAAGUAUUUAGUUUUCAGAAAUGAUCUAUGCAAAUUUAGUUGUGAUUGUGUUUUGUCAAUAGGACCCAGUUAAUAUCCUCCAGAUCUUAUUUAUCUUCCACCCUUUGCAUAAGCUAAAAUGGGCCUUUCAUCCCUUCCAAAUCUCAAUUUGAACAACAAAUUCAUUGAAUCCUUGAUCAUAUGGGGCUCUCCUACGCCUGGUGUACACAAGGAGAAAUAGGUAAAUACACUCUCUCCCUCCUAACCUGCAAAUUUCAAUUUGAGCAACAAAGCUGCUGUAUCCUUCACAGGCUUCUGAAUGUUAUGUGGGGCACUCUUAUAUAUGCCAAGUGUAAACCAGGAGACGUAGGUACAUGCACUGCCUCCCUCACCCUCUACCUUCACCUCUAUGGAGAUAGGAUUUAUUGAUAGGUACAGAAUAACAUUCCCGAGAGGAAUGGAUCUUUGGAUUUCUGAUCCUCAAGACAAUAUUUACUGUUUGUUUUUAUCACAAUUUUAACUUGAACAGACAAACCAAUUUUCACUUCAGAUCAUAUACCUGAUGUAGCUAUGUAACUGAUCCACUAAAAAAUAUCAGAAAUCUAACAACUCAACAAUCAGUAUUUAAUUGAUCUGCUAACUUUUGUAACUUAUCCGGUGAAUUCUACAAGGAAACUCUACAAUACUGACCAAAGGUUCAUCAAAUUUUCUUGUAAAUUCCAUGACUUGGGGGCAGCAACAAUCCUCUCCAAUGUUGCAAAAAAGGUCACUCAAAGAACAUUAGCUGAACCUACCUACAGAACCUGGAAAAUCAAAAUGCCCUGAAAACCUGGUGGUAUGCUACCUGUAACCAAUCUAUCAAAUAAAUUCCUUUCGUACUUGAUACAUGAACUGACACCAAUUUCGGGUUUCUGACAACACAAAGCUACGCAGAUCAGUCAGUUCCAGAAUCCAAUAUGCAGGCUCUGAGAAAAUCCAAAAUCCUGACAAUUGUGACUCCCUAUCGUGCCCCAUUUCCAACCCCAGCCUGGCAAUCUGAUUUCCCCAAUAUACAGUACACCGAAUCAAUCAAUUACUCCACCUACCACAAUCCGCCGAAUCAAUCAUCUCGUAAGGAGCGGAGAGAGACGCGUAUGGUUCUUGGAAAAUAAGAACCACAACGGGAGGGUACAAUUUUACAAGAAGAUAAGGGAAGGGCGGGAGUGUUACCGCCGAAGAAUCCGACACCGGCGCCAGCGCCGCAGCCGAUGCCGAGGCCGAAAGCGGGGCCGAUCUUGCCGAGCUCAUUGGACGUGAUCUCCGGCAGCCUCCAGAGAAGGGCCUUCUCGUCCCCUCCGCCGCCGCCUCCCUGCUUCUUCUUCCCCAUCGCCUCCUCCCUCUCUCCCAAAGUCCCAGAGUCCGCCGAAAGAAGGAUUUCUGCUCUGGUGGAGGGGGGCCGGCGUUCUUGACGAAGGCGUGGCGUGGGGCCGCGCUAUUUGGGCCUUUGCCCUUUGGGCCGCAUUCGUGGAAGUUGGGUCCUAUUUUUUCACGGCAGGCCUUGUUGUGCCUUGGGCCUCCUCUGCAGAUAAGACAAAUGUAAAACAAAUUUCGGAGCCACUGCAUCUGCAUAUAUGCGUGUACAUCGAUUUUUAUUUCCCUGGCAAAUCAAUUGCACUUUUGACAAUUUGAUUUGCAUGAAGAAGACUUGAAAUCACCACACUGGUUCAACCGGCAACGUCCUCUUGUUAAGAUUUGAAAUCCUAAUCUUAGAAGACGUCGCAGGGUAGUAGUAGCAUAUAGGCUAAUCCAACAGUUUUGAGCGUAUAUGCAAUACCUAAAGAAAUACAGUCUCACUAUAUACAAUCUCUCACGAAUGAAUAAUCUGACUAUAACACAAGCUCCGAUCGCUCCCACUCUGAGAACUCUGCUGUGCUCAGAAAUAAAAGUGAGAAUUAAGGUAGCGCAUGGUAUUAGGACGACGUGGGUUAGGUUGGAGGUGUAUGAGUGGGUUGGAGCCGACCCAAUCUUUUAUUUGGUUGAAGAGGUUAAAAGGGUUGGGAUGGAUAUCCUUUUAGCACCAUUAGUUGUGAACCCACCUAUCAGCUGCGGGGCCUACCUGUCAGCCUCUCUUUUUUUUUCCCUCCCUUCCUCUUCUACCUUCCUCCUCCUCCCCGCAUGGCAUCCUCUCCUGCUCCUCCCGCGUGCCGUGCUGGCGGCCUCCCCUACUCCCCUGCCUCGCCGCUGCCGGCCCUUGCCCUUCCGGCCCCUGCCUUCGCCGCGUCGACGGACUCCACUGCACCCCUUCCUGCACCGGCAACCUUCCCCGCCACCUCCCCGCGCCCGCGACCGCUCCGGCUUCCCGCCACCUCCCCGCGCCCGCGACCGCUCCGGCUUCCCGCCACCUCCCCGCGCCCGCGACCGCGCCGGUGUCCCGCCUCCUCCCCGGCCCCAGCUCCUCACCAGCGUGCAGGCGAGCGCGGUGACGGAGCGCACGGCGUCAGACCGGGUCCGCGCGGUCCCUUUGAUUUGGUGGGAUGCGCUCGACCUGGAUAUUAGGGAAUAUUUCCUCUUUGAGUCCAACCCAACUCACACCUUCUCCAACCAAAUAUGGGUCGAAGUGGGUCGAACCCAUUCCAACCCACUUCGAGCUAGUAACUAAACACACGGCAAGUGUCCAACGCUCAGGUAUUAGCGCUUUGCAGCUACAGAGUAGGAACCACAAUAACACAUGCAUAAGAUGCAGCAUAAGUCGACAUGGCACGGAUGAUUUGAACCAAUUUGUCAGGUCAGAAUUACCAACCCUGACAGAGCAUACAAUCGGUUGCCACAAAAAACUGAAUAAUACAACAAGAUUGUCACAGGGGUCUAUUUUUGCAUAAGAUUGAUCAGAACAGAAUUGACGAACCAUGACAAGGCAUACAAUGGCCAGCUGGAUAGCAACCUGGCAAGCAUUUGGUGACCUGCUGGACCGGCCGCAGGAUUUUGUUUUAGCAAUUCCAUCGCCUAAGGAACUUGAAUAGAUCGUGUAAUUACUAUCUGUCUAUCUACCACAUGGUAAUGGUAUAAAAAAUGUAUGUCCAGAAGAACUGAGCAAAGACAUUGAAUUAGUAAGUAACAUCGGUUCCUAGCAAUUAAACAUUCAGAAAACAGAGCAGUUCACAGUUAACACUGAGGUGCUGUAAAUAUAUAAACGGAGCAAAACUGAGAAGUCGCCCUCCAUACCAUCAAUUCUAAGCUACUUCAAAAGAACCGGACUGAUACAAGCACAUACAGGAAAUGGAAGAUCCAUGGCUACAAUUUUGAGACAAUUUCCUUAUAAUCAAGACCAUCACUAGUCAGAGUCCAAAUCCAGCUCAAAACUGGAUGCUGUAAACAAAUAAGACAUAAUAAGCUAGCUUUGUUACACAAUGAUUUUAAAGUAUCAGUGAUACUUUCCUUUCUUAUCCUUCUUACAAAAGAAAUUAAAUAGAUUUACACAUAAUUAAAAGGGCAUGGUAGUAAUUUCUCACUAUUUUGGUACUUGGUCCCACAAAAUUGGUACUUCUUGGUAUUUCUUUUUUGAUAGUACUUCCUUUGUUUCCACCAUUCGAUUUUGCCCGAUGGACGGCUCUCAUUUUUUUGAGCACUCUAAAAUUCUCAGGAAAAAAGGUGUAAAUAGGUUGUCAUAAUUGCUUUGUAAUUCAACCUUGGACAAUGCAAUGAUAUAAUUAUUGCCAAGCUAGAAGGAUGCACUAUUACCAGGUGAGUAGCCUUCUGAAUAUAACAUCCGACUAUUCCCCACAGAUUUCAGAAGUGACCAAAGCGCCCCUCAUAAAGUCUGAAAAUGAAAAUAAAUGUAUGUAAAUAUAUACGUAUUGCCUAAGUAUAGAGAUGGUUAUUUCUGCCAAUAGCACAGGCAUUUUCACCACCUAAGGUUCCAUUUGCAACAGCAGACAUGGAUCACCUACCAGCUCUAAAACUACUUGGGUUGACUCCAUUUUUAUGGCCUCAUAUCCACUACACCAGUAUUAUUUUCCUACCUGGAAGGAUAGAGGGCAUCUAUUUUGUAGUUACUCAUGUUCUGACUCACUGUGAGCUGCCGUCAGGACAACUACCGAGUGGGUGAGAGACAACUGGAGACCAUAUUUCCCCUUUAUCAUAGCAUCAGUCCUCACAUUUGCAUCUUGUGCAUAGCUAUCCUAGCAGCUAUUAGGGAAGAUGUUUGUAGCCACCAUUGCUUCCCUCGAUAAGGUAAAAUCUUUUUUAUCCUUUUUUUUGAAUGAGCCAGGAGCACUGGCCCGUCAUGUAAGAACUCAAAUGGGCACCUAUGCUAACCGAGCAGUCUCAAACACGGGUGAGGCUGCUCGAACAGUCUCGAAACGCUUCUACCGAGGCUCACACACACCUACACACACAGCCCUGGUGCGACGCGAGCGCUGGCGGUGGCCUCAGCAACGUGAGGACCUACCACCGAGCUGACAGCUCGUUCGCAAAAUCCUUUUUAUCUUGUUUUUGACGCUCGUUAUUGAACGCUCGUUAUUGAUAUAUUUUUAGUGCUAUUUAACUAGUGUUUUUAUAUUUAUUCUUAUACUAACCUACCACUUGGCACCUAAAAUAACCCUAUUAUUACAUAUGAUGCUCUUUCUUGUAAAGGCUGACCAGCGCUACUUUGGAUUGCUUAUUUGCUUACCCAGAAUAAUUAUCUUGACGUGUUCUUAUGUUCCGAUAGUUGAGUACCCCUGAGUAGUGAUGGUAUUGCGGGUGGGAAUGUGUUGGGCAUGGUUCACAAGCACUCGCGAUAACACCUAGAUCUGAUUCGUUCAUGCAUAGCGAUUGCAUCUAUAAGUGAUCCUAGAUCCUUAGGACAAGCGUUUAAUCUGUCUUGUUCACAACCUUUACUCUCCAUCCAUCUUAAUCUAGAUUGCUUAGUUCCUUUGUUAGCAUAAUCAUAUCCUAUAUAAAGAGCUUUCGGUUUCAUCGAUUAGUGCUUAGUUAAGCGUGCAAAUCCCUUGUUCCGUGGAUUGAUAAACCUUGGGGGAAUCUCUAAGGAAAAAGUUACAAUUGAUCCGUGCGCUUGCGGUUCACAAUUUGGCGUGCUAACUGUCAUCAACAAGCUUUUCUGACGCCGUUGCCGGGGAACAAAUCAAUUUUGCUACGUUUAACUUUGUAUUAAUUUUUGUUAACCUCGAACAUCUAACUUUUUCUUUAGAAAAGAAAAUCUUUGUUUUUGUUUUUGGUGUAUAGAUGGCUCUGAUCAAUCACUACAAGGAGGAAGGAGAAAAGUCGUUGAGGAACUAUGCAAUCCUAUUAACCAAUCAAUUUUACAUGCAGAAAUCUGACUCAAUGCUUGCAGCCAAGGAGGACAAUCUGAAUAAAGAAAUAAUCAACAUGGCUAAGAGCAAUCCUUUGCAAGGAGUGGAGACUGAUAAUCCAUACAGACACAUUGAGCGAUUCACGAUGCUUUGCAAUACGCUACAACAAGAAGGAAUUCCACCAGCUUUGUUCAGGUGGAAUCUGUUCCUAUUUUCACUUGCAGGUGAAGCAAAACGACGGUAUGCAGAAGCUUCUUCCGAUGCGAAGGGGAAUUGGGAGACACUAAUGACAAAAUUCUGUGGGAGAUUUUUCUCUAUGAGCAAAGUUCAAAACCUUCGCAAGGAAGUGAUCAUGUUCGUGCAAGGAGAAGAUGAAGGAAUAGAUCAAGCUUGGAAUAGAUUUAACAGACUACUCGAACAAGGACCUAAGCUUGGAUUCUCAGGUGAUGUGCUUUUGCAUACAUUUUAUUUCUCACAAACUCAAAAAUAUCGAGAGUUUGUUCAAAUGUGUGCAGGAGGAGACCUUAUGGAGAAAACACUUAGGGAGGUUGCUGAAUUGUUAUAGAAGAUCAGCAGAGGAGCAGCCAUAAACAGAGAAUGUGAUAGUUAUCAAUCUGGAGUGCAGGAGCAAGAAAAUUGAACAUAAGCUUGCUAGAAUUUUCAAAAAAGAAAUCUAUACAAAAGAAGAACCUGUGGUGCAAAAAGAAGAAAAACCAGCACACAUAAAAGAGGAACCCACUUGGUGCAUCAAAUAUGACAAACAAGAAACAUCAGAAACUUGAAGUCUGGCGAAUGCAAAGCCCCUACGGGAUUUUGAACAAAUGGAUUGGAUUUCUAUUGACUUUAGUGAAAUAUUUGAUAAGCAUAGAUCAUAUCCAAAUCAAAAGGGGUCGGCUAGAGCUGUUGAGACAGAUUUUCCACCGGAGAGAAACACUAUCUAUGUGCUUGACAAGGAGAAAACUGGAGAGAUAAUUCAAAACUCUUUAGUGAAGAAGAAGUAGACCCAAACUAUAUCACUGAGGUGAAGAGAAUCAUGGGAGUGAAGCCUGAGGCAUCACCAUUCGCUAGACUGGGAAAAAUAUACGCGAUUGGGGCUGAUCAAAGUGAAGAAGAAUCUUUGCCUACACCACAUAUCAAUUGCAUGAUUAAUAGGGAGAUCAUCUACAAGGCGCUUUGCAACAUUGGAGCACAUGUAAGUGUUAUGUUUUCAAAACUUUAUCAUGAGCUUUAUAGUAAAACUUUACAACUUGCUCCAACCCCUAUAAAUUUAAUCAUGUGAGUGGUAGAACAACUAAACCUCUAGGUGUUCUUAGAGAUCUAGAUGUUGCUAUCUUGGGUAAAGUUAUACCAAUCGACUUCUUUGUUAUUGAUGCUUGCCAUGAUGAACAUGAUGAUAUUAUCCUUGGUAGACCUUUUCUUAAGUUGGUUAAUGAUGUUCUUGAUGCUAGGAAGGACAAAGUAACGAUUAAUCUUGACGGUGCCAAAUACACUUAUAAUUUUCUGCCUACUUCUCAACAAAUCCUACCUCUACUUGUUGAUAACGAGGAAGUAGAAAGUGUAUGCUUUGCUGAAAAUUUCAGGGAUCCUCUACAAAGAGCGAUGGAAAACAACGAGGAUGGUCAGGAUGAUGAACUGGGGGAAGCAACCGAAGCAUUAUCACUGCAAUAUGAACUUUGGAAGCAGAAAAUAUUGAAGACAUUGGAGAAUUAGAGCAACAAGAGCCGUAGUAUUUGCUUUUGAAAAAUUCACAUCAUAUAUUGUGAAUUCUAAAGUGAUUGUGUACACCGACGAUGCUACAAUGAAAUAUCUUUCAUUGGAUAUUGUUACUACAAGAGUUUGAUGUAUAAAUUAGAGAUAAAAAGGGAUCAGAAAAUGUGAUAGCUGACCACUUGUCAAGCAUGUAUCAACAAGAUGAUGGAAAGGAGCCUAUUGAAGAUCGAAUGAGAGAUGACCAUUUAUACAGAAUACUUGACAAGGAUGAUUGGAUGCAUGACAUUAUUAGAGCAAUAAAAAGAGCGCCUUUGCAUCACUUGGAUAGGAAUGAAAGAAGAAAAGUUAUUACUGAAUCUAAGAAAUACUAUUGGUCUGCACCUUUUUUGUAUAGAUAUGGAGCAGACGGAGUAUUGAGAAGAUGCAUUCCUAGAGAAGAAAGAGAUGCGGUGCUUAGAAAAUGCCAUUCAUCGGAAUAUGGAGGACACUAUGGACACUUCAGAACUCAAGCAAAAGUAUGGGCAAUAAGAUUUUAUUGGCCGGAGAUGCAUGAAGAUGCAAAGAGGUUCAUUGCUACUUGCCUAGAAUGCCAAAGAACAGGAAAUAUUUCAUCUAGAAACUCUAUGCCCUUAAACUAUAAUUUGCAAGUGGAUCUAUUCGAUGUUUGUGGUAUAGACUUCAUGGGACCAUUCUUAAAUUCACAUGGGUAUGAGCACAUCUUGGUUAUGGUUGAUCAUGUGUCUAAAUGGGUGGAAGCUAUUCCAUGUCGCAAGGCAUUGAUAGAAGAAUCAAUUCACAUGAUCAAGAUGAUGAUAUUUCCUAGCUAUGGAGUACCCAGAAUAUUGAUAAGCGACGGAGGAUCGCAUUUCACAGGAAAAGAUUUUGGCAAAUGUUUGAAGCAAUUGGGGAUUCAACAUAGAGUGUCUAUAGCUUAUCAUCCUCAAAACAAAUGUCCAAGUAGAAACUUCAAAUAAGCAGCUCAAAGAUAUAUUGAAAAAGAUCGUAGUCAAAGGAGGGAAGGAUUGGUCGAAGAAACUAGAUGGAGCACUAUGGGCAUAUAGGAUAGCUCAUAAAACACCUAUAGGCAUGACCCUGUAUCAAUACGUCUAUGGAAAAAUAUGUCAUCUUCCCGUUGAACUUGAACAUAAAGUUUAUUGGGCAAUAAAAGAGAUGAAUUUUGAUGUUGAUACUGCGAGAGUAAAAAUAAGGAUUCAAAUAAGUGAAUUGGAAGAGAUGAGGUUUAAGGCUUAUCACUGUGCAAGCAUUUACAAGGAAAGAAUCACGAGAUGGUUCGAUAAAAGGUUUCAGAAGAAGGAAUUCAAAGAAGGGGAUAAAGUGCUACUGUUCAACUCUAGGUUCAAACUCUUCGGUAAAGGAAAAUUGAUGAGCAAGUGGGAUGGACCAUAUGUGGUUCAUUAUGUGUCACCUACCGGAGCAGUAACAAUCAUGGACAUCAAGGGAGAUCAAUAUAUUAUGAAUGGACAGCGGCUAAAGGUAUUCUUAGAACCUAACGUCGAGCCUCUCAAUUAUGUUGACGUCUAUACCAUGGAGGAAUAACAGCCACGUCAAGCCUGACGACACUAAAACAGGUACCUUGUACAAAUCUAUCUUAAAUUUUAUUAUUUUCUUUCAAAUUUUGUGUGGGACUUGAAACAUUAGAUAUAUUUUUAGAUGUACGUGCUGCUAGGAAAAAUUGGGAGGCAGAGGGGUUGAAACCCCUGAGCUGAUCGGCCCAGUAGCCCCCAGGCUGAUCGGCCUAGGAGGUUUUCACCUCUGAUUCGGUUCCCCCUUUCCCAUCUUUGGUAACGACAGAAUAUGAAAAUGAAUUUUUGCAGGAAGGGGCGAGGAAGUUUUUGGAAAUGUGUGGAUCCUUGGCCAAGAUUUCAAGAUUAUAUAAUGAGGCCAAUUGCAGCUCAAGUUGCACAUCUACACAAGCAAUUCAGAUCCACCAAACCAGAAAAAAGUGCAAUGACGGCAUCUAAGAGCUCGGGAGAUGAGAAGGGGCAGUAGCCGACGAAGGAGGAGGCUAGGCCGAUCGGCCUGACCUCCCCAAGCCAAUCGGCACCACCCCCUCCUUUGGUCACCGCCUUUGCCCUUCACAUGGAAGCCAAGAGGUGCGAGUGGGGUACCAAAACUCCACCAAGGACCGCUUGUAUCGCUCACAUCAGCGUUGGAGGCAAGGCGCCAUCUGAAAAGCUCACAGAUCGCAAGUUUAUCAUCCUCUCAAGUGAUGAUGAAGCAUCCAAGAAGAAGAAGGAGGCCGUCAUUGCUCCCACAAGGCAUUCAACAAGGCUCCUCGGGAUCAAGCGCAAGAGCUAUGUGGAGAAAACAUCCGAGUACUCGCUGGUUGACUAUGGAGGUGAUAGCGAUUGGGACGAUGAUAGGAGCCCCAGAUUGUGGGGUGCUGUAGGACGUGACAACGAAGAAGAUGACAACACGUACUGGGAUUGGGGUGAAGACAAGAAGGAGAGUAAGGAGCAAGAUGGCCGCCAUCAAGACAAGGGCAAAGAAAAGGAUCUAGAAGGCAAUAGGUCAGAACUGGAGGAGCAUGAUUGUACGUGUUGCACCGCUUGCAAGAAGAACAUCCAUUACCUCUUUGAAGCCGUCAACGACAUCAUGCAGGCCUUGCAAGCUCUAGAUCAGAAGGUAGAAGACAAUGAUCACCGUCAAGAGGAUGACUUCAAGUUCUUGCAAAGGAACGUGAGGAAGUUCUUCAGGAUGUGCGGCAACAUGAGGAAGAACAGAGCUCAUGGUGAAGGAAGAAGCAACCGUCUCGUAUGCAAGCAGUGUGGGCAACAUCACUAGUGCAUUUACAACAUCUUUCCCUUUGAACUUCAUGUGGUUACGACGAGGACGUUGUAGAUUUUAAGCGUGGGGGUGGGGAGAUCAUCACUCGUAUGAGCUUUUGGAUCUAGUUUGGUCGAGUCGAGUCAUGUGAGAGUCUAAAUUAGUGUUUUUAUUUCAAUCAAAAGUAGAUGAAGUAGUAGUCUUCUUAAGCUUCUGGGAAGACUUAGGCCUAGAUUGCUAUUUUAGCAUCUUUGUAAGAAGAACUAUGAAUAAAAUUCAAGGAUCGUGCGAGUGUUUUUAGUUUCUAACUUGGCUUGGUUUUAUUUUAUUUUUUCUUCGCAACUUUGGAUCACGAGCAUUGUCUUGAAUUCUAAACCUUUGUUGUGGAGUUUAGUAAUUGGCUUGUUUAUGCAAUACCCAUGCUUCAUGAUGAUCUAGUACUUUGGUUCUGUUUAUGCUUUAUGAGUAAGGCUUGAAUUGGAGGUGAUUUAAAAUUUUAUUGCUUAUCUAAAACCUAUAAAAAAAGAUUGAUCAAGAUCUUUUAACCAGGUUAAGAGUUAUUAUUUAUCCUACCCAAUGACUCAAAAGAUUUAUUUGUACCAGCAUAAGCAGAAUUGACUCUUUGAAUUGAGUUAGGAUCACUCUCUCUUGGUUUGCAUGAAUUCUGAGUAUUGAUAAUAUCCUUUUACCAUCUCUGAUUGCUAGCCUCAUUAAUAUUCAGUAAUGAGAGUUCUUGACUGGAACAAUCAUAUUUUCUACUGAAUUCCUAAACCCGAACCAUAAAAUUGUCCAAAUUUUAUUACCUAUUCCUUGAACACAACCCAAUAUACGCAGAUUUGUUCUGUUUCUGGUUGAGUUUUAUGAAAAAUAAGGAAACAUACAAGAUAAGGAAGCGUCACCAAAAAGAAGAGCAAGAGGGGAGGAAAGGAGAGGCCACGCCAAUCGGCCUUGGGCUCCUUUGCCUCGGUUCGCGUGCAAAAAAAAUUGUGGAAAGCGUAUGGAAGGAUCUAAAACUAAUUUUUAUGGUGUGGUGUUCAGAGGAGGUUUGGAGAAAGAGAUGAAAAAUGAAAGAACGAAAGAAAAGAAAGAAAGUGAAAAAUUAUUGAGAAAAAUAAAAAGAAAUAAUAAGUAUAAAGGAAGAGAGAAAUAAAGGAAGAGUUUUACUGUCAUGAAGAUCAAGAAAAGUGCAAAGAAAGAUGACCUUGUUUAUGGAACGGAUUUUCAUUCCAACCAUGUGCAAUCUGACGACGAGGAUAUCGCUUGUGCCUCAGAGUCACUAUUUUAUUUGCCUUUGCACAUGUCCACCAUUCUAUAUCUUCUCAUCCUUGAAAACUUCACAUUAAUUCUUAUGAUUAUUGGCUCGGAAGGUAGGUAACCGUUAGAGAGUUUUCUUAAUUCGAUAAUAUAAGUGCUGAUUCUAGCUAGCCAUACCCAAGCUCCACCAUAUAAUUGAGUGAUCUUUGAGAGAUGAGAGCUUGAAAGAAAAUAGGAUAGCCACCUUUUAUUUAGUGACAUGUGAGCACCUGGAAAAGAAAUCUUGUUUCAAUUCUUGUUGCAGGGAGAUUAUUUCAUGACGAAAGAAAAAUCCUCCAAAGAAAGCUAGAAUGUAAGUGUAGUUGAUUCUUGAAGUUACUUGGUUCUGAAUAAUAGCUGUGGGGGAAUCUUUGCUUAGAUAAAUUGUUGAACACCCAUACUUUGAUUAUCUUUGCUGCUCCUCUGAUCUUUUGUUUGAAGGCUAGGUAUUUCAAUCGCUUGUUAGGUUUAGUUCAAGAUCUUUGUUUAACCCUGCUACAGAAGUUUACAGUCGCCUGACUUGCUCGAGGAUGAGCAAGAGCUAAGCGUGGGGGUAUUGUUGAUGCUCAUUAUUGACACACUUUUAGUUCUAUUUAACUAGUGUUUCAUGCUUAUUCUUAUACUAACCGCCACUUGGCACCUGAAAGAACCCCAUUAUUGCAGAUGUGUUGCAUUUUGGAGCAUAUUAUAUUUUGGCAGGAAAUACGACAUAAUCAAGGGGGUUUAUAUAAAGAGCAUAAUGGAUAUUUGGACAUGGGUCGUUGAGGGAAGUUAGCACGAGGAAGGAGAGGACAAGAAGGGCUAGGAAGGGCCUAGGCCAAUCGGCGUAGCCCAUUCCAGGGCCCGGUGGACCUCCCGUUUCUUUAGCAUGAAGUGUACGAUGAUCUCUAGAGUUUUUUCACCGAUAUUGACCCAGAGCCACCACCUAUUGGAGACUAUAAAUACCCCCUCAUGGACCAUAUUUCCCCUUUAUCAUAGCAUUAGUCCUCACAUCUGCAUCUUGUGCAUAGCUAUCCUAGCAGCUAUUAGGGGAGAUGUUUGUAGCUACCAUUGCUUCCCUCAAUAAGGCAAAAUCUUUUUUAUCUUUUUUUUUUGAAAUUAGCCAGGAGCACUGGCCCGUCAUGUAAGAACUCAAAUGGGCAUCUAUGCUAACCGAGCAGUCUCAAACACAGGUGAGGCUGCUCGAGCAGUCUUGAAAUGCUCCUAUCGAGGCUCACACACACCUACACACACAGCCCUGGUGCGGCGCGAGCGCUGGCGGGUGGCCUCAGCAACAUGAGGACCUACCACCGAGCUGACUGCUCAUUCGCAAAAUCAUUUUUAUCUUGUUAUUAACGCUCAUUAUUGAACGCUCGUUAUUGAUACACUUUUAGUGCUAUUUAACUACUGUUUUUAUACUUAUUCUGAUACUAACCUGUCACUUGGAAUCUGAAAUAACCCCAUUAUUGCAUAUGUGCUAUUUAUCAAUCAUAUCUUGAUGAUGCUCUUUCUUGUAAAGGCUGACCAACGCUACUUUGGAUUGCUUAUUUGCUUACCUAGAAUAAUCAUCUUGACGCGUUCUUAUGUUCCGAUAGUUGAGUACCCCUGAGUAGUGAUAGUAUUGUGGGUGGGAACGUGUUGGGAAUGGUUCACAAGCACUCACGAUAACACCUAGAUCUAAUUUGUUCAUGCAUGGCGAUUGCAUCUACAAGUGAUCCUAGAUCCCUAGGAUAAGCAUUUAAUCUAUCUUGUUCACAACCUUUACUCUCCAUCCAUCUUAAUCUAGAUUGCUUAGUUUUUUUGUUAGAUUAGUCAUAUCCUAUAUAAAGAGCUUUCAGUUACAAUGGUUAGUUAAGCGUGCAAAUCCCUUGUUCCGUGGAUUGAUAAACCUUGGGGGAAUCUCUAACGGAAAAGUUACAACUGAUUCGUCCACUUGCGGUUCACAAUUUGAUGUGCUAACUGCUGUCAACGAGCUUUUGUACGAAGUCCCAGCAGGUGUAAGAAGGGGUAGUGCGUCGUUUGUAAUUACUUGAAGAACAUUGAGAAAUAUACCUUUGGGCAAAGUAUUUUCGUGUCUCUGCUCUGGUCCUGAGAUUUGAAGUUGCUGCAGCUAGUUCGUAUACGUCUAGAUGAGUUGCGCGUAUACGGCCAGUUGAGCUGCCUCAGGUCCUUGAAAGGCUUACACUCCUGAUAUUUUCUCAGCUGUUAAAAUAGGCAUGGUUUCAUUUGGGUGUCAUGUGACCUGCCAAGGUCAGCCCCUGUUAUGCCAGGCUUGGAGGUUGGAGCCAGAACGAUGCAAACAUGGUGUAUAAGAAAAGCACAAUAUGGCUGUGGAAUAGAAUUAGUAUCAUUUGAUUGGUUGUGAUAGCAAUACUGUGUGGCCUAUCUUCAGUUUGUUACGAAAAUUUCUAUGGUUGUGACAGAAGUUGCAACAGACAUGGCCGCCCAAGCAAUGCCAAGUAAGGUGUGCUGAACUCAAUCACAAAGAACUUGACUUUGAAGCAAAAUGUGAUCAUUUUUAUCUCCAAAGUAAUGGUACCCAAUGCUUGGUUUCCACUACUAUCAUAGCCGCAUAUUACAACCCCAGUGGGCUAAAAGUCUUUCAGUGCAUAUCCUGCCCGGGUCAGACUUCAAUGGGCAAGAGAUUGACAGCAGACCCUGGUCUAUUAGAAUUCACCGCAGAUGGGCAUUACCGAUGCUGCCUUCAAUGUAGAGGGGGCGAUUAUGAUUAUUGUCCACUAUGAUCUUAUCCUCCCACUACUACAAAAACUGUUAUCACCGCCGGCCCCCAACCCUACAUCACCACCAAUUUGGGGGACUGACAAGUAAAGGUCGGCGGUGAAGGGUAUUAAAAAAUAAAAAAACAAACUGGCCACUGCACCACUGCUGCGCCCCACCGCUUAGAGUUUGGAGCGCCGUCGCAUGCUGGAUCCGGCUGCCGCGCCUUAUCCUAGAGGGAUGAUGGGAGAGAGAGAGAGCGGGGGGGGGGGGUUGACCACGGGAGAGAGAGAGGCGCAGGUGAGAGGACGAGGGGAUGAGCGGAUAUGUUGGGGGAAUAGUCCGACAGUCCACCAUGGGGUAGGCCAACGUGGUAGAUUGUGUGGAGGGAAUCGCUGCACCUAGAGCUAGAUGGAUGAACAUAAGGACACAGGGGACUUUACCAGGUCCGGGCCACCAGAUGGGUGUAAUACCCUACGUCGUGUGCUCGGGGUUGUAUUCUCAGCAUGUAGCGUAUCGAAUAUGGCUUGGAUUUUUCAGGGGUCCCUGCGGCCUUUAUAUAGUCUGGGGGAAAGGGUUACAGAUCUGAUUCAAUCUAAUCCUAGUCGGUUAUAAGAAAAUCUACUACCUUUCAGUACAAAUUAUCUCUUUACAUAUUGAAACAUGCCUAUCUGUAACUAUAUAUGUUGAUGUCGAUCCUUCAUUUUGAUCUGUAUGUGCCACGGAACCCCCUUUGGAGGGCGGCCAUGCCCAUCCGGGUGGUACGCGGGGGUUAUAUCCCCCACAGCAGCCCCCGAGCGCUUCUUGGCCAUUAAGCAACCUUGACUAAUCCUUUAUCCGAGUGAUUUUCUUCAUUGCUGAGUGAUUUUUAUCAAGUCCGAGUGGUUCUCAACUUUCAGCCGAGUGGUUCAUGCGUGACUUGCGGUUGCCGAGAGGUCAAGGAUGUUGGUGAUGCCCAAGAGGUCCUGGCCCAAUAAGGAUGUGUUGGCCCAUUAAGCAAGUAUAUAAGUACUAAUCACCUGCCAAAGAAUUAAUUAACCCUAGGCUAAUACUCCUGUUGCCACACGCUAGUUUCCAACGGCCGACAGGGCUUGAUAUGGACCCGCUAGGGUUGAUUCCCGAUCUUUCGAUAAGAGGCGUGGGAUAACUCGAUUGGUCGAUGGAGACGACGUUCACAGCCCGACUACAACCUUCCAAGCUGCGCCUUAGCAACUGAUACACCACCUCCAAUGGCUGCCGCGAUCUUGUGGAGUGCGUCACCCGGCCACUAGGGCACUUGUCCUGCAAGCAAUCGAAGAACUAGCAAGAACAAGUAUAACAAGUACUGAAUUUACUAGAUGAAGAUGAAGGUUUCCAACUCAAUCUCAAUAAGGUGGGGUUCCAAAGACAGCAAGACGGGCGGCUGAUCCAGCACGCGCGCUUACAAGCAAGUAGCAAGAGCUAAACUUGAUCUAAACAAAACCCAAUCUGUUUGUGGUGGCUCUAAUCCUUAUUAAUACCUAGGAGGACGACCAGGGGGUGUUGGGGUCGUGCUCCAACCCUAGGACAUGUCCCUAAUGGACCCAACUUGAUACACGGCCCAUUGGGCCAAAAUAAGGCGACACAGCACCUCUGGACGGAAAACCUCUCGGUAGUAUUUUGAUGAUUGAGGCCGACUCGGAGAAGAUAUGGAUAUGAUUCUAGAUCCAUAUGAAAAUAGACUUCAUAAGGAUUCCAAAGAGUACUUGAACGCUGAAAACGGAGUUCGGAUGAGGUCGUGGCGGCCGUUGCAAGUUGACAUAGAGCUGCAGUCCGAAUCCAGCCCCAAAACGUGGAUUGGAACUCUUUCUUUCCUUGGGCCAAAAGUGACGUGGUGGCCUGGUGGAGGAUGUUGGAAAUACUCGGAAUUGGCCCCCAAUCUACUUCUUUGGUCCUCCAUGCCUUCCAUGUGUGUUUAACACUAUUUUUGAUCCAUGUAUUUAUUUCUGAAAUUGACAACGAAUACACAUCAUGGUGCAGCAUCAAUUCAUCAAAUGUAUCACAUAUAAUUAUGAUAAAGAAUUGUUUCACCUUGGAGUCAAAAUAUGCCAAUAUGGUUGUCUCCGAGCAUGUGAUGUCCUCAUCAGGGCUUCUGCUGCCGCACGCAAGGCUCCUGGUGCACGCUUCGCUGGUACACCUGCCCCACGCCUCCUUGGUGCACCGCUGCCACCGUUGCACACACCUGCCUGGUGCUGCUACUGUAGUCCUCCCUCCCGGAUUAAAGGUUGAUUGCGGGGAUCUCCGAGUACGUGCCGUGGAGUGCUAACACGCUUUGGUUUGUCGUCCCAUCCCAUACGUGUGGACUGUCGUAGUGGUGUCGCUAGGUUACGCACUUCGUCAGAUCGUAUGACUACUUCCUCGACAUUGAUCGGAUCGACUACUCGCACUUCAUCAAGACUUCCGCUGCGACACGCGACGAGCGAAGGUAUAAUCUAUGAUCAUCUACUCGCAAGUGAUCCUGUUUACGCGGUUAUAAUUUUGUGUGCUAGCGAGUAGCAUACCACGUUUCCUAACAGUGGUACUAGAGUUGUGCUUGUGUUGUUUCGGAUCUAGAUUAAAAAUUUUGCAUGGUUGGUUGUAGAUCAGAUUAUUUGGUUAAUAGUGUUACACGCGAAUUGGACUAUUUUACUCCAUUCUUGCUUCCUCAUUAUGUAAUUGGCUAACUGGCCGUCUUUACGACGGCGCGCGAGCGUCGCACGGCUAACCACGAGGUUGUGAGUUCGUGUAGCAAAGCAGUCGAUACACGGUGUGAACAGCUAUGUCGGCUAGAGUGAAAAAUUUGUUCUAUCCGUUAUCGUCUUACGGGACCAGAUCGUGUUUUUAAUAAAAAAAGGGACGCGUUGCAUCAUUCGUAGAAAUGCCUAACUUGUUUUUGCAGAGAAUGAUGUGAUGGUCUGACCUCAAAAUCAUGUGAUGAUCUGUGUGUAAUUAAUUCAUGUGGCCUAUGUGUCAUAAAUUAUUACAGCCGGGUUGAUGCUGUUUAUUUUCAGCCUGCGUGCCACUCCUGUGAUGUAAUUUAUAAUUUUAAUUUAGCUACUAGCAUGUAUUAGCUGAAUUAGAUUAUGUAAUUCAUCGACACGAGCGAAGCGACUCAGCGACUGUCGUACCUUGGAGAAGGCGCCCAAGAUGCGACGUCUCAGCAUAGGUGUGCACACUGGCGGUCAUCGACAUGUGCUGAUUUUCAUUGGACGAAGAAAGGCCAUACUAUUACAAUAAUUUGAUUAUAUGUGAUUAUUAUUAUUAUGCACUGCAUGUGAUGAGCAUGAUAAACCCCUCAUGAAAAAUUAAGAUUUUAUACCCUUCCAACAGCUGCACCAUUGGGAUCUUGUUAGUAGGUGAUGGGUCUACCAAAGCAGAUUGUCAUCUUCUACCUUGAUCCAUUGGGUGGUGUUGGACACCACGACAUAGUGUUGGUUUGCUUGAUAGAGCUAUCAAGUUGGACUUGGGAUUUGGGGCAUAAGUGUUGGGAGCCAAGACAUAUGAUGUUGCCCAACAAACGAGAGUCGUUGGAUGAGAUUGGCAAGUGUUGCCUACCUUGUUCACUAUGAUGCUAGCGGUGAUGCCAAAGCUCACUAGUAUCACAAAGAGCGUUGGAUCGCGUCCUGCUAUGCAACGCUGGGGGAUGUUCGAACAACAUAGCAGGAAUUUUUUAUUAAAAGUGUUAAUAAAAGAAGUGCUAACCGUUGCAUAUCUUACUGUUGUAGAAAAUGUCGAGUGCAUCAAACUUCAAUCUAUGAUUGAUCCUAGAUAGAGAAAAGCUAAAUGGAACAAACUUUGUUGAUUGGAAUCGGAACCUGAGAAUUGUUCUCAAACAAGAAAAAAAGGAAUACGUUCUCGAUACGCCUUACCCGGAAGAGCCUCAAAAUGUCAUGCACACCACUAGUGCAUAUCAUGCUUAUGUGAAGCAUACUGAUGAUGUGGUGGAUGUGCAGUGCCUGAUGGUUGCUUGCAUGAACUCUAAGCUGCAGAAGCAAUUUGAGAGCACUAACCCAUAUGAUAUAAUCGUGGGGUUACAUGGCAUGUUCGAAAACCAGGCGAGGGUUGACAGGUUUAAUACCUCAAAAGCCCUGUUUGGUUGCAAGCUUGCCGAAGGUGCUCCAGUCCGCCCUCACAUGAUUAAGAUGAUAGGGUACAUUGAGGGCUAGCGGAGACUGGAUUUUCCCCUCGAUGCCGAUCUCGCCACCGAUGUGAUACUGCAGUCCCUGCUUGCUAGCUUUGAGCCAUUCAUCCUGAACUAUCACAUGAAUGGUUUGAAGAAAUCGCUGACUGAGUUGCAUGGGAUGCUAAAGAUGGCAGAGGCGAGUCUUAGGAAGACUCCUGGUCAUGUGAUGACAGUCCAGAAGGGUAAGAACCGUAAGCACCGAGUGAAGGCUAAGAAACCUAUUGAAAGUGGGACUUCCAGGUAGGUGUCCAAGGCCAAAGAAAAGAAAGCUGGUGCCUCCCCUGAUGAUGCUUGCUUUCACUGUGGUGCAAAGGGGCAUUGAUCGAGGAAUUGCAAGAAGUACUUGGAAGAUAAAAGGAAGAAAGGAGGUGCAACCUCCGCUCAAGGUAUUAAUGUUAUUGAAAUUAAUCUUGCUACGCGUUCUAAUAAUGCAUGGGUAUUUGAUACUGGUGCAAUGAUUCACACUUGCAAAUCAUUGCAGGGGUUGAAAAUAAUUAGACGCUUUGCGAGAGACAAAGUGGAUUUGCGCAUUGGGAAUGGAGCAAAGGUUGUUGCGUUGGUCGUCAGCACUUAUCCAUUGUCAUUGCCUUUUGGAUUAGUGCUAGAACUCAAUAGUUGUUAUUUUGUUCCUGCAUUGAAUAAGAACAUUAUUUCCUCCUCAUGUUUAGAGGAUUAUGGUUAUGAAUUCAUAAUAAAGAACAAGUGUUGUUCCAUUUUUAUGAAUGGCAUGUACUAUAGGAGAUGUCCCAUUGUGAAUGGGCUUUACGUUCUUAAUCUAGAAGAUGCAGAAAUCAAUAGCAUUAGUACUAAGAGAACUCGCAUAGAUAACUCAAAUCCUACUUACUUGUGGCAUUGUCGUUUAGGCCAUAUAGGCGAGAAACGCAUAAAGAGGCUCCAGAAAGAUGGUCUUCUUGAUCCUUUCGAUUUUGAAUCAAUUGAGACAUGCGAGUCGUGCCUACUUGGAAAAAUGACUAAAACUCCCUUUGUUGGACAAAGCGAGAGAGCAUGCAAGCUAUUAGGCCUAGUACAUACAGAUGUAUGCGGUCCAAUGAACUCGGUCGCAAGAGGUGGUUUUCAGUACUUUAUUACCUUUACUGAUGACUUGAGUAGAUAUGGAUAUAUCUAUUUGAUGAGGAAUAAGGCAGAAUCCUUUGAAAAGUUCAAAGAAUUUCAAAAUAAAGUACAAAAUCAUACCAGCAAAACAAUUAAAUUCCUACGAUCGGAUCGUGGUGGAGAAUAUUUGAGCCAUGAGUUUAGCGAUCAUCUGAAGAGUUGUGGAAUUGUUCCACAACUGACUCCGCCAGGAACACCGCAGCGGAAUGGUGGGUCCGAGCGGAGGAACCGAACCUGGUUGGACAUGUUGAGGUCUAUGAUGAGUCAAGCUAAUCUUCCAUUGUAUUUUUGGGGCUAUGCACUAGAGACUGCUGCGUUCACACUAAACCGUGUACCAUCUAAAUAUGUGGAGAAGACGACAUAUGUGAUAUGGACUAGGAAACGUCCUAGUUUGUUGUUCUUGAAGAUUUGGGGCUGCGAAGCCUACGUGAAGCGUUUGACACCCACUAAACUUGAGCCCAGAUCUGAUAAAUGUGUCUUUGUGGGGUAUCCUAGGGAAACCGUCAAGAGAACAAAGUGUUUGUUGCUCGAAACACUGUCUUUCUUGAGAAAGAGUUUCUCUCGAAAGAAAUUAGUGGGAGCACGGUGCAACUUGAAGAAGUUCAAGAAACACCAGAAAAUGUUUGAAUUUUCAUUGAUGAGGUGCAACAUGAUGAAUCAGCGAUGGUCGCUGACCAACAUGAUGAACCUCAACCACGAAGAUCAAUACGGGCACGUCGCGCACCUGAUAAGUACAUGCUACUAAUUACAGGGUAGCGGGACAUCCUAUUGUUGGACAAUGAGGAGCCUAAAACAUACAUAGAAGCAUUGAUGGGACCAGAGUCUAAGAGAUGGCUUGAUGCCAUGCGAUCUGAGAUGGAGUCCAUGAGGGAGAAUUAGGUUUGGAACCUGGUUGAUCCACCCGAUGGUGUGAGAGCCAUUGAGUUUAAAUGGAUUUUCAAGAAAAAGAUAGACGCUGAUGGAAAUGUUCACAUCUAUAAGGCACGACUGGUAGUGAAAGGUUUUUGUCAAAUUCAAGGUGUUGACUAUGACGAGACAUUUUCACCCGUCCCAUUGCUGAAGUCAAUCGGAUCCUCCUAGCAAUUGCCACUUAUUAUGACUAUGAGAUUUGGCAAAUAGACAUCAAAACGGCUUUCCUUAAUGGAAACCUAAGUGAUGAUGUGUAUAUGCAACAGCCUGAAGGUUUUGUUGACCACCAAAAUGCUAGAAGUCCAUAUACAUGCUAAAGCAAGCAUCCCGGAGCAUUGCAGAUAUGCAAGGUGCACACGGACUUGAACAUUGCAGAUCUGUUGACUAAGACACUCCCACAAGCAAAGCAUGAGAUGCAUACGAAGUCAAUGGGCAUGAGAUGCUGGCAUAACUAACUAGCACUAGUGGGAGGCUUAUGAUGAUGUAUUCCAUAAAUGUAGUCAUAAGAUGAUGACAUCAUGUCAAUGUUUGUAAUCUGCAUUUUGAUAAUGAUAUGUUCCAUGACUUUGUCAUUAUAUGUGAUUAGCGAAUACGUGAUUCGUUAGUGAAACUCCAUGAUACAAUAUUGGCAUUGUACUAAAAAUGAUCCCAAGCUUCCAUCCGUCAUGCAGGACUGUGACGUAGAGAUAAGCUGGUACAUGUGUUGGGUGGAUGAUCUUGUUUCACAGGUCAUGGCAAUAUGGGAUAUUCUACCAACAAUGUAGCACGUGUUAGGAACACAGUGCUGGAUAGACCCACUACGAGACACUGUGAAUACACUGCUAUAGGUGAGUCUCGUAACGACACACAUAUUACGUCCUUUGACCUAAGAUCGGUGCAGAGUCCCGGAUUGUGGAACAUCGCAUUUUGGGUUUGCUAAAUGCUAUUCCAUAACUGGUAGUUAUAAAAGUAGCUUUCGGAUGUGGUUGAAGCAAGUCGCAGGGUGUACCGAGUCAAGAAGGAAUCUGCCCCUCCCGUUUCAGGGAGAGACUCCUCUGGGUCCUCUCGAUGUAAUGAACUAAAAGCGCAUGGUCAUGCCUCGACUAAAGGUUAGUCGAUCAGAAAAGUUCUUUACUGAGCAAGAAAUGGCUAAGAAUAAGGGUAGCACCUCACUCGCCUUAUACUUGGUUAGGUGUCGUGUAGCGGAAGGAUAUAAUAUUGGCGAGUGUUAUAGGUUAUGCAAGGUAUGACCUUCAUGAACCUUUGGGAGUCAGUACGCCUUGCUAGAGGCCAAUGCUAACUAUUGAUCGGAAAUGGUUUCCGAGUCAUGUCCAUUGGUUGCAUGAACCUAUAGGGUCACACACUUACGGGAUUGGAACACAUUGAUACUUGCAUAAUUAACUCUUGUGCAAGUGGGAGACUGUUGGUGAUGCCCAAGAGGGCCUGGCCCAAUAAGGAUGUGCUGGCCCAUUAAGCAAGUAUAUAAGUACAAAUCACUGGCCAAAGAAUUAAUUAACCCUAGGCUAAUACUCCUGCUGCCGCACACUAGUUUCCAGCGGCCGCCAGGGCUUCUGCUACUGCACACAAGGUUCCUGGUGCACGCCUCACUGGUGCACCUGCUGCACGCCUUCCUGGUGCGCCACUACCACCGUCGCACGCACCUACCUGGCGUGCUACUGCAGUCCUCCCUCCUGGAUCAAAGGUUGAUCACGGGGAUCUUUGAGUACAUGCCGUGGAGUGCUAGCACACUCCGGUUCGUCCUCCCAUCUCGUACGUGUGGACUGCCGUAGAGGUGUCACUAGGUUUCGCACUUCAUCAGAUCAUAUGACUACUUCCUUGAUAUUGAUCGGAUUGACUACUCGCACUUCAUCAAGACUUCCGCUGCGAUGCGCGACGAGCGAAGGUAUAAUCUAUGAUCAUCUACUCGCAAAUGAUCUUAUUUACGCAGUUAUAUUUUUGUGUGCUAGCGAGUAGCAUACUGCGUUUCAUAACAGAGCAGAGCUCCUCCUUUUGUUUUCUUUAUCACGCACGCCGAAGGCGAAGUGUAUACACUUAGCCCGUGAGCCUUGGGAAGUUUAAAAUAAACUUGCCAAGGCUCUUGACCUGAAGUCUCAACAUAUCCUUUCUAUGGACUUUCCCACACGCGCGCCAAAAGCGAAGUGUGUACACUUAGCCCCCGAGCCUUGGGAAUUUUAGAAUAAUCUUGCCAGCCCCCUAGCCUUUAAGCAAUAUUACGUUCAUCUCUCUAGAGAUGAACAUAUGCGUGCCAGCCCCCAAGCUAAGGUUCUCAAGGCAAGAGUUUUUACUAGCCUACAAUAUUCUCAAUUGGUGCAUCUCCAGAUGCGCCCAUUGGGUGCAGCCCCUGGGACUCAAGUGGAUUUGAAGAAUGUAGUUGAUGCUCUUAAAAGGACCUUUACUACACCUAUCAUCCCUCUAGGAUGAAGAUUCCUCGAAUCAUUGAGAUGCUCCAGAGCUUUGAUCAAAGCUUGUCCAAGCUCGGGCAUUAAGACGAGUGCAUCAUAUAGGCUCAAGAGAGUUGGGAUGCGCUUUAAGUGGGAAACAAUGUUGUACUCAACUUCAUCUUUUGGGGAUUGACUUCCAGAUGCACCCUACUGCUGGUCGUGUGCGGGGGCUGCUUUGGAAGGCUGCCCCUUUUCCUUUUGAGCUCUAAACAAUCCCGACUUGAGCUGCUCAGUUACCUCCUUCCCACCUCGCAUGUUCAUGCUUACUUCUUCAACAUGCUUAGUUUUAGAAGCUGCUUUAGCAUGGAGUGAUACACACUCCUCUGAUGUUAUGGCUAUCCCAUCAUCAGAGUGAUCUGCCUCCUAAGUUGUGAUAAUCGCAUUAACCAUGGGCAAGGUUCGAGACUGAUGCACUUAAGUCAUCCACAUCUUGGGAUGUAGAGGGCUGCCCCCAUUGCUUUGGGAAGAACUGGCCCAAUGUGGCAACUAGACGUGGAGGUUGCAGGAAUGGCUCAUCUCCUUCAGAGUGUGGUUCAAACCUAGGUGGGAUGCACCGCCUACUUAGGUCUGACCAUUGAUAGAAGGUGGAGGGCAUCGAUUAAGGUCAAGGACGUAUUUUACGGUUUAGGAAAAGUGAAUAGGCCGGACUAAAAUUUUCAAUCCUUUGUUGGCAAAAAGAUGCUUGUUUGAAUUUGGGCAAGUUGAGCAAGGAUUUCAUAGCUUUUAAGAGAGAGCCAAAUAGGAUCACAUUAUUUGUUAAUAAUCAUCCCAUAUUUAUUUUCAACCUCUCCAAAAUCCGAUGCACUAUUCCAACUACAAUCACAUUAAAUGAAACAUAGAACAGAGCAGGAAAAUAGGGGAUUGAUCUUCCAUCCAAAGGAAAUAGUUCAUUGAUCUUACAAAUAAAAGAUAACAUCAUAGCAAAGAUGGCUAGGAUUCCAACAAAAUCUAAAGUUACUAAUUAACAUCAUAGCAAAGAUAAAUGAUCUAAUUAAUCUCCUUAGGGUCGCCCAGGCCCUCCCAAAAGCGGGUCCUGAAGAGGUAGAAGUGGCUCAUGUGGUGGAAGAUGACAACCUCGUUCUACCAUUGCCAAAUGUGACCGUGAAGGCGAUCAACAUCCUGGGUGGAUGGAAGCACGGCAAAGACAAGGGGGAGGUGUCAUCGUCCGCCAUCCUAAAGUUGUGGUGGCCAAGCGCAGCACCGAUGUAGACCAACGCUGUGUACCAAGGAUUGUACUGGUGCUUCUCUCUAACACAAGCCGCCACCACCUGGUCGAUUUUGCCCUCCUGGAGACCAAGAUGUUGCAGCACGGGCAAGGAAACGGUGGUGACUAGCGGCGGCGGUGCAGCAGCCAUGUCCAUGAUCUUGAAAUGCACAUAGAAAUUAGUUUGAUCAAAGAGGGGGAAGGUCGAAUGCACAUACAAAUCGAUACAGAGACUAGGGAGAGAGCACUGUACUUGAGCUAAGAGGAGAUGUGGUAGGGUUUUCUUGCACCGAGAGGAGAUGCCCAAGGGUUUUCUUGCGCUUGAGGCCGGCUGAAGAAGUGGAGGCAUGUCACAUUUAUAUCAAAACCACCGCUCCUUCGCUGGCAAGCCUCCCAAAAUAACUGGCUGCGUGGACGAUGUGACAUUACACGUCUCUGGAAUGUGGAUGGUUGCAAUGUUAAUAAUCGGGUAAAAGAAAGAAUUUGAUUCUUGGUGAUGUGUAGACGUAUGAUCUGUUCUCGGAAAAUUGAAUAGGCUAGACUAACAUUUGCGAUCCUUUAUUGGGAAAAAGAUGCAUGGUCUGAAUUUUGGCAAGGUGAGCAAGGAUUUCCUUGCUUUUGAGAGAAAACCAAAUAUGAUCAUAUUAUUUGUUAAUAAUCUUCCCAUAUUGAUUUUAAAUCUCUCAAAAAACGGAAGCACUAUUCCAACUACAUUCUCAUUAAAUGAGAUUUAAAAUUUGAUCCAUCUAGGUUUCUAGGGGCAUGCGAGUAGGAGAACAACCCAUUGAGAAUUAAAUGAGGGAAUAACAUAAAUUGGUUUCAUGUAACCAUGCCUACACGAGGACCAAGGAAGACGGGCUGCGUGGACAUGGAGGAUGUGACAUUACAUAGCGCUGGAACACGGAUGGUUGCCACGUUAAACCUCGGGUACAAAUUAGAAUUUGAUAUAAUUUUUGGGGAAAAUAUAUACAGACCCGUUAGAGGAAAAGUGAAUAGGACAGACGAAAAUGUUCGAUCCUUUGUUGGAAAAGUGGUUUGAAUUUUGGCAAGGUUAGCAAGAAUUUCCUUACUUUCGAGAGAGAGCCAAAUAGGAUUACAUUAUUUAUUAAUGUCGUCUCAUAUUGAUUUUAAACCUUCAAAAAAACCGAUACACUAUUCUAACUAAAAUCACAUUAAAUGGACCAUAAAAUUCAAUCCAUCUUGGCCUCUUGGGCUAUGUGAGUAGGAGAACAGCAUAGCAAAGAUAAAUGAUCUAAUUAAUCUUCCUAGGAAAAUCUUUGAAUUCUUGGAAACAGCAAAAUGAAAUCAUGCAAUUCAAUUGGCAAAAUGACAAUACAUCAUCGGCACAAUGAUCAGAAAUAGAGAUUCUUGGUGAGGUACAGACGUAUGAUCCGUUGUCGGAAAAGUAAAUAGGACGGACUAAACUUUUCAUCACAUAUUGAUUUUCAACCACUCAAAAAACAUAGUACAAGAUAGCCGUUGUUUCUAAUCUGUUGCGGUGUGGUGCAUAAGAAUAAAUAAUCCCAUAACAAGACAUGUCAUGGCAGGCUAUGACAUAGCAUCAUGAACAAGGAAAACCAAAGCACCAAGGAAGAUGAACAUAUUCUUGCCGAUGUCCCAUUACAGAGAAAACAGAGCAAGAAAAAAGGGGAUUGAUCUUCGAUCUAGAAAAUAGGGGAUCCAUCUUUCCAUUGAUCUUACAAACAAAAGAUAGCAACAUAGCAAAGAUGGCUACGGUUCCAAUGAAAUCUAAAGUUACUAAUUAACAGCAUAGCAAAGAUAACAACAUUGAUCUUCCACCGGCAGGGCUCGCUCACUCCAUCCACCCUCAUUCCGUGCCAUGACGCAGUGGCGACUCCACUUCUUCCUGUUCUCGCCCCUCAGGGGCGCGGACUUUGCCAUCCCCAGGACGUGGUCCUUGACCUCAUUCAGGAUCCUUCACCAAUGCCUUGUGCUGGGGCAGACGGGGCACGCGAGGUGUUGUCAGCGCGAUGGAAGACACGCUGAGCGUCACCCUAAGGGAAGGGCCUACGGCAGCCGCAGCGACUAUCGUCAGACGAGUCCAUCUCAGUUUGGGACUCGGAGUCGGAGUCGAACGCAUAAGCUAGAAGGGUCACCGACAAGGUCAACUUCCAAGGUAGUGACGAGGGUGCGGGGGUGGAGGAAGCCGCCCCCACCACCGGAGGAGGUUGGGAACACGCUGGGAAGCCCCCAGUAGCUCUGCAGCGACCAUCCGCGAGCGACGGCGGGUUGAGGUCGGUGGCGUCGGAGCGCAAUCCCGACGAUGAGUGCAAUGGCCACCCGAGGUCACAAGCAUCGGAGCAGGAUCCCGACGCAGAAGCGUCGCCAUAGUGGGACGACCCCAUCAUGUGGAUGUAGCACCAUAGCACUGCCGUGAAGUUGCGGGUGGCGACACGCUGACAACCCGCUAUGGGAGUGCGACAACAAGGAGGAGGUGUCGGAGGAUCGCUCGAUGCGCGAGGGGGAGCCGGUGGGGGAGAGGCGGCGCAACGGGGAGUCGGAGGAGGUGGGGCCAAGGGUGAGACGGAUCACUUCAUGGCGUUGGCCGGGCUGCUGGGGUGAGGCGCACAUGUCGAGGAUGAGAUGGUAGUGGAACUGGCGAUGGCGCCGAUGGUGGGGGAAAUGACGAUUAAAUAAGAAGUUCCUUGCCUUCCAUGUGAAGUUUUGCCGGCUUCCCUGGGAAACUAGGCAACCGACGCAUCUUAAGGAUGGCAACUGGCUCCUCAAAGAAUGCGCGGGAACAAGAAUAGGUACGACAACUGCUAGAGGCCGUGUCAUCGAAUACUCGAUCUGAAUGCAAUUGUUUAUGAUUCUUAAAGAAUCUAGAAGGAAAUUCCAUUGUUGGGAAAGUAAACAGGCUGGACUAAAAUAUUCUGAGUGUGGAUUUAGUUGAAAACAUUUGAGUAGCACAGUGGUGGAAAAUGUUUGUUUGCUUAUUAUCUGAUUGUUCAAAACCGUGCGACGGGGUAAUUUUGGAGUGUUCGAAGCCGUGUGAUAGCAAAAUGUUUGAUCGCUUAUUAUGUGCGAGCUCCACCAUUACACGUGGCAACAAAAAUUAUUUGCUCUCCCUACCUAUCGAGGAUAGCCUUGCCAAGUCUUGGCAAACAAGGCUAGUGGGCAAGCUUGGGAAAGACAACCAAGCAGACCCAAAGUUUCAUCCAUGGUUUCAUUUUUAUUUGUUGAUGUGACACUAUUGGAAAAAUGAAAUAAUGCAAUGAGAUUGGCAAGAUUGAUAGUACAUCAUCGGCACAAUGUUCAGAAAUAUAAGGCAACAUAACCAAAGUGACACUUGCAGAAUACAUCAUCGGGAAAAUGUUCAGAAACAUAAGGCAAUCCUAUGAUACUUUCACUCUAAGUAUCAUUAGCUACCAAAAUAUAAGAUCACCAUCCCACCUCUGAACUAUCUACUUAAUUAGCCUUGCCACCAAGCAUCAAUCCCAUGACAACAACAAAUAAAGCAAGCAGCACGUGCGUGAGUUUGACAUUGUCCUAUAAUUCCCAAUUGACUUCAGCUCGGUAGUGGCCUUCUGAAGUUGUUGCCGCACCAUCUUAAGCUCAUUCCUAAUCUCUCUAAGCUCACAGUUAGCUUUUCCCAAUUCUUCCUCCCACUUCUUUGCAUCCUCUUCAGCUUGCACCUUCUUCUUCAUGAGCUUCACCAGAACACCAAAGGUCCUGUCAUCCCAUUAUGGAUCAACCUAGAUCAUGUAAGCGCAUUGAUUUUUUUCCUUCCUGCAAAUUAAACAUCCCUUUACAAAUCGCUGUUGACAACAGUAACAUGAAACCACAAAAUCAAAAACUCUAUAAAGCAGGUAGCCAUUACCUUUGGGCAGCAAGCAAACACAUGGCCAGGGUUGCAAAAGGUCCAAGAAUACUUCACCACAGCUCUCAACCCGUGAUCAUACUUGUCUUUAGGAUGCCAAUGGGUAGUGUUGUAGGAAGAUGUCUUAGAGUAGUAGCUACCAAUAGAAGAAGACGAUGGAAUACUUGGAUGCUUCAUAAAAGUCAUUGUAACUGGAAAUCAAUGUUUAGUUUUGCACUUCAUAAACUAUAGCCUAUCAACUUCUAACACCAAUCGGAAUGCAAACCCAAGGGUAGGAUGAAAUCAGAAUCUAUUGCCUUUAACCGAAAUCUCCAAUUCCAGAAAUCCCCUUCCCUUUGACAAAAGGGGAAAGUAGCGGCACAAAACAAGGGACUGACCUGACCAUAGCUCUUACUCCUCCCUUUGCUGCUAGGAUGCACCAUUCCUGCCGCCCAUUGCAGAUCUGCGCAUUGAUGUCUCUAGGCUCAUGUCUUUGCCAUAGUCAAUAGGAGCGUGCCGGUGAGUCCCUUGCUGUGUACACUGUUGUAGAUAUACCCGUUGCUCUGGCCUGCAACUGGGAAGUGGAUCACACUUCUUAGAACUGUAAUAUAAAGAAGCUGCCUUCUUCAAAAACCAUAAACUGCAUUAUGUCUCAGUGGUAGUGCUGACUCUUCAGAAACAAGAGGUCAUCGCAGGUUCGAUCCCUACUGUGGACACUAUUACCUUUUCAUUUUUCUUCCUUUUUUAUCUCAGACUGAGUUGUGGGACCCUACCAGAUUUAUUAUCUCAGCCGCCAGUUGUAUUAUCAGACAAGGAAUUUGUAUAUAUACUACUAAUGUCUAUAUUAUUAGUGUUCCUCAAUUAUGCAGCGUAACUGAAUUCUGAAUGGUAAAUAUGCUAGAAUCAAAUUGAGAGUAGAUUAAACAAAAGCGGCACAAUGAGAUUGCAUGUCAUAGUCAUUCAUCACUACAAAGUUCAUAAUCAUCAUUCUUACUUAUCCUAAUUUGCCAGAUAGUACAUCACAGCAGCAGCGAUUGCUUGACCUUCUUCACCACAUUGGUGGCCUGUUCCAGGUGUCCCUUCACUUUCUCUAGCUCAGUGGCAGUCGCUUCAAGCUUCAUGUUAGCCUUUGUGCAUUCUUCCUUCCACGACCUUGCUUCCUCUUCAUCAGCUUCAUCAUAAUACCUUUAGUCCUAACAUCCCAUUUAGGAUCAACCCACAUAAACACCGUGCAUUUCAGCCCUUUACGCUACAGACACCGAUUACGAUCAUACAAUUCUCCAUUUACGACACUAACAUCAAGAGUACAAGCAAGGUUUAUUAUAAUUGAAACAAGUUAUCAUUUACCUCGCUGCAAGAUGCAUACCGGCAUCCAGGGUUGUCAAAUGUCCAAUUAUACCUCACAAGGAGAGCAUACCCGUGCUUGCACUUGUUUACAAGAUCCACAAUGAUAAGAUCAUUGUCAGGAGGCCCCGAUCUGCCGCUACCAAUGACUUCAAGUACCUCUAGAAGCUAGUAAAAUACAAGAACCUAUCAAUCCAUUAUACGAUCCAAAUUAAAAACUAACUGCAUCAUGAAUCUAGUAUGUUCAACCAAGAUUCCCAAAUCUAGAAAUCCUCUUCACUAGUCAAAUUCAAGAAGUAGCAACUCAAACCAGGGGACUGACCUCAUCAUGGCUCCUCAUCCUCUCGUAGUCGGGUGGUGGCGCAAUCAUCCUCCCGUCGCUGCUAGGAUGCGCCAUUCCCGCUGUAGGCCAUUGCAGAUCUACACAGCAAAAGUCUUUGCGAAGCUAGCGAAGCGUGGUGCCGGCAUUUCGAUCGGUAAAGACUCACCUGAAACUUACAUGUGGGACCCGAUCGUGGUAAAGACUUCCCAUUCAAUCGGUAAGAGGUUGGACCCACGGGAGGAGCACAUCUUCCUUUUUAUUUUACCGCCCUAUUUAUCAGCUUAUACUUACAUGUCGGACCCUUGUUGGUUUAUGAUGUUUUUGCGGAGCUUAUAUCAUCACAAAACCACUAUGUAACAGCUAGUGAUGAUUUCUUUUUCGCUACAGUGGCAACUUUUAUGACGUUCCAUAACUUUGUCACUAAAUUUGCUCGAAUGUGAAACUUUGUGACAUUUUCAGCCAAAUGUCAUAGAUCUAUGAUGAGAACCAAUGUGUCAUAUAAUUUUCAUCAUAGAUCAACACAUGUCUUGUAGUGUAGAUUGCAACUUAUAUUAUGAUGAGUUGGAUUAGGAUUUAUUUCUAUGGUUUGAGACUUAGAAGCUGCCCAUUCCUUUGGGUUACCUUUGUUUUGCUAGCCAAUACUAUCCAUGCAUUAUGAUUUUCUUCACUAGAAAAUUUGCAAACCUCGCUGGAUAUCCACCAAAACCUGUACAUCCUUUUGUGAUUAUCUUCCUUGUCCACAACCUAUUAAGAUGAGUAUGAUUAAUUUUUUCAGAGAUCGUUUCUACUCCCACCAGCAGCAAAUUUUUACUCACUUUUCAUGCCUGAGGACGAGCAUCCUUCAAGCAUAGGGGGAGAGUCAGUGUACUAUCUAUCCCUGACAACUGUUGGUUGGAUCAAGAUUUGUUGUGACAGAAUUUGAGGAGAAAAGAAAGACAAAGAUAAAAGAAUAAAGAAGGAAAAAAUAAUAGGGAAGACAAAGAAUGAAAAAAAUGAGAAAGAAAGAAGAAAAAGAAGAAAAAAAGAGAAAGAAAGAAAGAAAGAAAAAGCUCCUCAUCUUCUAAAACAUCAUUGAUUGGCUUGACAAGGUUACCAUUUGUUAUAUCAUACUCAUCAUUUUCCAACCAUGUGUAAUCUGAUAACGAGAACUUUAUUUGUGCCUCGGGAUCAUUCAUUUGCCACUUGGACUUGUCAACCUAUCUAAAUGUGUGUGUUUCAUCUCUCUCCCUCUCCAACAUUUAUUUUUCAUGGCUUUUUGGACAAGUGUCAGUAAAUCCAAUAGAUCUCUCUCUUAGUUUGACAAUAUUUCAGAUAUAAUAUUUUGCUAGGAUUGUUUUUACCUACCAAGCUCCACAUAAGCCUUCCACUUGUACAUGAGUAGAAUAGGUUCAAAAUAAUCUAGUAUAGGCUUGAGUGACAUGAUGAGAUGAGUGUUUCCAUGAACUUUUGCAAGAGAAUCUCACUUAUGUUGGACAUGCAUCUUUUUUUAAAAAAAAACUCUUCACUAUGAAACAAGGUAAGGUCUAAAGUUCACUUAAGUUUGAAGAGCAUUGCAUUUAUUUUAUUGUGGCUCAUUCUUUAUUGCUAGUCUAGCUUCCAUAAUGAAAAAGAAGCCGGUCAUAACUUGAACUUUAAUGCAAUACACUUGAGAGAGAGAGCAAUAUUUCUUGUCAUGUAUAACUAAGUGCAGGGAUGACAAGGCAACGCUGAUUUACCUUUAACCAAGAAUUGACUUACUCGAGGACGAGCAAGGUUUAAGCAUGGGGGGAUUGUUGACGCUCAUUAUUGACACCUUUUUGGUUCCAUUUAAGUGGUGUUUUUGGACUUAUUCUCAUACUAACUCGCCACUUGGCACAUGAAAUAACCCCAUAUUCGCAUAUGUGUUGUGUUUUAAACCAUAUUGCAAAAUCACAGGAAAUACGGCAUAAAUGAAGGGUUUUUCUACAAGUUGGACUUGGGCCCAGACUUUGGAUAUUGGAAGGCCCAGACACGAAUAUUGAACUGCAGGGCCGCAGGAGGAGAUGAACUUGCAUGGGCCAUAUCUUCCUUAUCUGAACUCCGAUUGGGGUGGAUUUAUAAGGAACAUUGCAUGGAUCGAUGAGAUCUACAACAUUUGUAUGAAGCGCUCAGGAAUUGGAGGCCAAUAUUGCGUAGGCCGAUUGGCCUAUAAGGAUCCAUGUCGAUCGGCCUGGCUCGUUUUCAGCCCCAUUCGAUGCCCCCUUUCACCAGGAGGAAGCCCAUGACGUUCCUAGGGUUUUCUCUAGAUAUUUCGCCUUGAAGGCACCCCAACCGACACCGUCAACUAUAAAUACCAAGGACAUUCAACAAGGAGAACAAUCCAGAUGAGUUUAGACCAAGCCACCACCGCCACAAAAUGAGAAAUAGAGAUUAGAUCAGAUCACCAUGAUGACCAACAACAGGGGAGGUCAGGAGCUGCAAAGAAGCCCUCAGAAUGAUUGGCCUGAGGAGCCCUAGGCCAAUUGACCUAGAUCCUGCACCCCUCCCCCCCGUGCCACCAUCUUUGGUGAUGACAUUUUCCACAGUCUCCAUCACCCCUUUGUGCAUCAAUCUCUAUAACAUGAUGGGGUAAAGCCUCUAUUCAUCCCUAGGAUUGUUUGGAUCCUUGAUGUGUAAUUGCUACAUGUACUUUAUGCUUAUCAAUGAUUCAUGGUCUAUGUCAUUACAAUGCUUUAUUUACAUAUGUGAACGCUUCAUAUAUCCUUAGUAGAGUUUGUGGUAAUCGUGGUGAUUAACUCAACUCUGCGAAUGCUUUGAUAUAGAUGUGUGAGUGAGGUCCUUGAUUAUCCCUGCGUAGUGACAGUAUGCAUGAGGGAAAAGGCCGAGCGAGCACAUAAUCUCUGUGAUAGCUAGUGAAGGUAGCAUCCUUUUGUGUAGUAGAUGCAUAUUAAUGUGAACCUAGAUCCUACAGAGGGAAUGCUUAUCUAUCUUUGUUAUCUAUCUUGUAUCAACCUUUGUUUCUUAUUUAGUUUAGAUUAGUUUGUCUCUCUACACAACUCAUAUUGCCUGGUUUUGUUAGUAAGAUUAGUAUAAAGUGAGAGCUAGCAAUGCACUUGUUCCACGGAUCCGUGUGCUUGCGGUUCACCAAUUGGCAUGUUAACUGUUAUCAAUAAUGUAUAGGAUUUUUUUGUGAGAUUUGCUUCCAUCUAGUCAUAUUCACUCUUUGUAAUGUCAAAGAGGGGCUUCGAGCAUUAUCGUAAGAAAUGUGGAUCAUAAAUCUUUUUUGGAAAGACUUUGCAGUUAACGAAUUGGAUUGGAUCCUAAGGCACCCUAAAAAUAAUGAUUAGUGUGGGUUUUAUGUAAUGGGCUACAUGCAUCUCUAUAGUGGGGAUGACUUCAGUAUAGCAAGAAGCCAUGUAUGUAUGAAACCCUCAUUAAUUGCUACUCAUGAGUAGCACUUGAAUAUUUGAACCUAGCUAUAAUUAAUUAGAGUAUAUAUGAUCCUUAAAAGUCUAGCUAUGUUAAUGUUGCAGAACGUCAGGUCGUCCAGUUCCGAGCUACUCGUGAGUGAGCUUAUAUCACUUCAAGAAUUGCUAGCUGGGUUCAUUGUCGAUCACGUUGUGAAACUAGAUUCGGAGUACUGGAUUGUUUAGGGGUAAGAAGUAUCUUGUAUCGUUCUCAACACACUUGAAAUGUAUUUGAUGUAACAGAUUGGAUCUCUGGCCUCAUGCUUGUAAUAAUAUGCUUGAUGUAUGGGCUUGUAAUAUAUUUUGAUGUAUGGGCUUGUGUACGGAUUCAUGUAUUUGAUGUAUUCAUUUGGUUCUGAUGAUAUAGAUUAAAUACUCUGAAAAUGGUCAUCACAGGAAGUUUAAACCGGUGGUAAAGAAGGCCAUCAUCACCGCUGGUCUUGGACACAAACCCGCCAUGAUGGCUCCAUCAUCACCGUCGGCUCAUGAGCUGGACCGGUGGUGAUGAAGGCCAUCAAUAUCGUCGGUUCAUGGUCUAGCGACCGUCGACCUUUAUCCGCUAGCCCCCCAAGCUAGUGGUGAUGGGUGGUUUGGGGCCGACGGUGAUAUAGGGUCCUGUAGUAGUGGUUGGAGGCUUUAGCCGGUAACUCUAGCUGCUACUAAUAGGCCAUUAGUACCCGAACACCAUUAGUACCAGCUGGAGGCUCCAGCUAGUACUAAAUAUUACCUAUUAGUACCAGUUGGUGCCUCCAAAUGGUACUAAUAGGCCACAUGGAGCACUAGUCGUCAAUUUCUGGCUUGUACUCAUGUAGUUCUCUAGUAGUGGAACUUGCCUUUUUCUUUCCUUUCCAAAACAAGCUAAUUAAGGAAAAAUAAUGAGAAAAGAAGAAAGAAAAGAAGAGAUUAUGUUGUAUUUAUAUAGGCUUGGCCCAAAUUUAUUCAAUAAUAUAAUUAGUAUUCCAAGUCCUAUAUUAAUUUCUACGGAGUUAAAAUAGGUUAAUCCCACAAUGGUUGUUGAGGAGGAUUCCAACCAACUUAUUAGGUGGACUUCUUGUACACUGUCUGUGAAGUUGGAGAAGGGGACUGGCAAGCCACAUGCGCGUGCACACUCGCUCGCCUCACUGAGGAUGUAGCCAUGGGGUGGCGAGGCGAGUCGUGUCAUGUCGUGCAGUACAGUGUGGAUGGAUGGAUGGAUGGAUGGAUAGACGGACGUGGUGUGCUAUGAUGCGUGUUGACGGUCGUUAAGUACCAAAAAUGACUGUCAAUAUUCUCAGGAAUAAAGGAGAAUCAGCAUUUCUUACAUGCACAUUUGGUUUCGAAUAAUGUAGUUCCACAUGUCCUUGGAGAUUAUUUGGGUGUAGGUAAAAUAAUAAAAAAGAAGGAGAAAACACACUCGCAUGGUGAAGAAACACAACUCCGACCAAUGAGAGAUCGCCAUGGGGGCAGCACAAGGAUACAUGGGCCCACAAACAACAGCAAACCAUCUUACCAAGGCAGCUACACCAACAACCGUCAUUGGGACACACUUGGAAGUCUACCAGAUGAAGGCGGUUGUGAGUAGGGCCAAGAGGGUGUUGACAGAACAAGGGAUUCAGUCGAACCAGCUCUGCCUCCUCUCGUCCCUAGCUAACGCAUGGCGGUCAUUAAUGGUGUCCCUACGUUGGUUAGAGGAGAUUCCCCUAAAUAAUUCUCCUGCAAACCACCUCUAUGGACCUAUAAAUAGAGGGGUGUGCUCUCCAUUCCAACACACACCACAAGUUGAAUCACUCUCUCCCUCUUUAGUUUCCAAGUUAGUCGAGUUAGGCUAGAGUAGCUCUAUUCAAGGUUCCAAGUCCACUUGAACCUAAGGGUAUGGCUCUUGUAUCUUUAGUGCCUAGGUUGACUUUAUGCUUUUCAAGUUAUAUAUCUUGUUCAUAUAGUGUUAUGCUUGAUUCUUAUAUGCAUGAGUUAGUCUUAUACCCUUGCUAUGUUGAUACGCUUGGCUUAUAUGCUCCUAUGCUAGUCAUAUACCCUUGCUAUCGUUGUAUAGUCUUAUAUGCUCUCAUGUGUGCCUUUAGACCUUGCUACAAUAUAUACUUGUUGUGCGUACAUACCAUGUAAUGGUUAGUCGAUCUAUGCCACGGCGUAGGUUCAAUGUCCAUGUCUUUGGUGGUUCCAGCCCUAUUCACAAUACCUCAGGACGGCUUGAGUGUUGUUAACAAUGCAAACAUGGUGCUUGAAUUGCUUAGCAUCGUUGGAUAUGGGUUCGCCCCAUGGGUUGCUACAGGUAGGCAGCAGGUGGUGACAGCCAUGUCCAUCCUUCGUAAUCCCUCAUGUUCAGGUACGCUGUAGGAGUUCGUAAAUCAGCAGUAACUACGCUGGCAGACCGAUAGCGUACUAUCUCCCCGUAGUGCCUGGUUGCAUAGAACUAAGUCCUGUACAAUGUGUGUGUAUGUUUACGCUUGAAUGAUCUAUGCGGUAUAUAGGAAGUACAUAUGAACCUAGAGCUAACUCCUAGACCUUUCUCCCUAGCUUAGUUAUCUUGACAUGAUUCUUUUGUGUGUGUCACACUACCCAUCCUAUCAUUAUCUUUACCCCUACCUUGUGUAAUGUAUCUACUCAUCCUAUGAUGUACUCAUAUGCAUAGUAAACUCAUUUUACCUACUGCCUUCCUUUGGGAAAUACGAUACCCUAGAAUACUCUUGGGUGAAAUGCUACAAUGUUAUAACUGUGUGCUUGCGGAUUUAUUCGUAAUCGUUAAAUAUACCAAGAAUGUGGUGAUAUUUUUGCGAGAACAAAGAUUAAACAGAGGUUUAAAACUAGCGACUAAAGAACGUUAAUGUCUUGACCAUAAUUCUGACAUUACCAGUAAUUGAUCCGUUACUUGUAACUGGCGAAUUGAUGGUCAUUGCUGUAGCCGAGAGGUCUCCUUGUACGCCUAUAUAAGAUACCUACCUCCUCCUCCUCAGAAUACACAAGACAGACAUAUACUCCUGUUUAGGAGAUCUAUCCCUUCUCCCAAAACAACUAUUGUCGGAACGUGGAUGGUUGCCAUGUUGAUUUUGGAAUAAAAAUAAGAAUUCAUUAUGAUUCUUGGUGAGGUUAGAUGGAAAUUCCGUUGUCAGAAAAUAGAAUAGGCCGGACUAAAAUAUUCUAUCCUUUGUUAGGAAAAAGUGAAACCACCUCCCUAUAUGAGUGUGAAGUUAGUCGAAAACAUUUGAGUAGCGUAGUGGUGGAUAGCAACUACCGCACAACCCUUGGCCCGUGUUCUAAACCAUGUGGUAGCAAAACUUUUGCUUGCUUAUUAUAUGCGGGCUCCACCAUUACACGUGGCAAUGAAAUUUGUUUGCUCUCCCCACCUAGCAAGGAUUACCUUGCCAAGUCUUGGCAAGCAAGGUUAGUGGGCAAGCUUGGGCAAGGCAACCAAGAAGACCUAGAGUUUCAUCCAUGGUUUCAUAUUUAUUUGUUGAUGUGGCACUCUUGGAAACAACAAAAUGAAAUCAUGCAAUGAGAUUGGCAAAGUGAGAAUACAUCAUCGGCACAAUGUUCAGAAACAUAAGGCAAUGAAACCAAAGUGACACUUGUAGAAUACAUCAUCGGUAAAAUUUUUAGAAACAUAAGGCAAUCCUAUGGUAUUUUCACUCUAAGUACCAUUUGGUACCAAAAUAUAAGAGCACCAUCCAAUCUCUAAAACACCUACUUAAUUAGCCUUGCCACCAGGCAUCAAUCCCGCGACAACAACAAAUAAAGCAAGCAGCACGUGCACGAGUUUGACAUUGUGCCUAUAAUUCCCAAUGAACUUCAGCUAGGCAGUAGCCUUCUGAAGUUGUUGCCACACCAUCUUGAGCUCAUUCCUAAUCUCUCUAAGCUCACUGUUAGCUUUUGCAAAUUCUUCCUCCCACUUCUUUGCAUCCUCUUCAGCUUGCACCUUCUUCUUCAUGAGCUUCACCAGAACACCAAAGUGUUGGAGGUCUGCCCUAGAGGCAAUCAUAGAGAUGAUGAUAUUCCAUUUGUAUCCAUGAUUUGUAUGUUGUGUUCAUUGAAUAUCCAUUGAAGGCUACUUGAAUUGAUUUGCAAUUAUGUGAAUUGUAUGUGAAACUCUUUACUUGUAUGGUUAUUCUAAAGUUGUCCCUAGUCGGAGUUCAUGUGAGGACACACAUGAAUAUUAGACUAGCACAUGUAUUAGUUGAUGACUAUGUUUCACAAGUCAUGGACAUGGAGAUGUUGAACUAAUAAUGUGGACACAUGUGGAGACAUGUGCUAGGACUGACCCAACACGAGAAGUAGUUCUCUCUUUAAACAACAUAUACGCUUUGUCCUUAGACCUGAGAUUGUCGCAUGUGUUCUAGAUGUGGAUCGACCUACUUAGGGGCUAUCAAACGCUACGCCGUAACAGGGUAGUUAUAAAGGUAGCUUUCGGGUUUGUCAAGAAGCAUGCUAUGAGACAUGGUCAGUCAAGAUGGGAUUUGCCCCUCUCUGAUUGAGAGUGAUAUCUCUGGGCCCCUCGAGUGAUCGGAUCCGAAAAUGCAUGGCCAUGCUACGUACGGUUAAGAGUUAACCUACAAAGGGAUUCUGAAUCACAGGAUCGAGAAAGAGCGGUCGUGUGGUGGAACCACCUCGGAUUAGCUUGGUUAAGCAGAGUUUAGCCGCCUAACAUGCGACACUCCUGCCUAACUCGAGCUAACACGAAGCGCCGUCGGAUUUCAUCCGAUUUAACCACUUAAACAGGAUCGAGUUCAGCAAACCCACACAAGGUGAGCGGUUACAGAGAAUACAACCAGUCCACCGAGUUUAAACGAGUUUUACUCAUUUUAGUUCAACCAUAAAGUCCAACAUUAGAGUUUACAAAACAAAGAACAACAGAGAAAACACUAGCGGAAGACUUCGUCGGGGUCGGAUAUCCUGGGCGAGGCCAGCCAGAACAUCACUGAGUCCUCUCCUCGCCGUCCGAGGAGGGGUCCCACUCGACCGUCCAGCCUGGCGGGAGCUGGGGCGGCCAAGCACCAACCAGAGAGGGGUCGAACGCGGCAGCUUCACCUGAAAACAGAAGCCACAGCAAGGCUGAGCUACUAAGCUCAACAAGACUUAACCGCUAGGAGUAGGGGUUACUCCUCCUUCUAGACAUGCAAGAUGUUUGGCUGAGGGGUUUGUUUUGCCAAAAGCACUAAGCAAUCCUAAUUCAAGUUUUAGCUCCGGUUCUAGGUUCACUUACCAUUCUAGGUUGUGCAACCUAUUCUAAGCAAUCAUAGAGCCAAACAAGAUGUGUAGAUAUAACAACCACAUUGCCAUCAUCAGAUUCCUCAUUUACUUAGGGUGACAUAGCGAUCAAGCAAUCUCAAACUGUGAGAGGCAGACGAAUCGAUUCGAGUUCUUUAACCAUGCAUGGUGAACCUAGCCUCACGACAUCCGCGCACCCGGAGGUCGCUUCCUGUGUCGGCCUUCCCCAUCAAUCCCCUAACCCGUGUCGGGCCCAUUUCCUUUGGUGCAAGGUUCCACAGACCCGGCCUCUGCCGUCCUAUGACCACACAUUGCCACCACGUGCGACAACCAGCAGGGGAAACUCCGUUCCAAGAACAAUGGGGCGACCGCUCACGUCUAGGUUCAAUCAGGUACUAGGCUUCCUCAUCCCAUACUAAGUAUGAGGCUAGUACUUUCAAACACUUGAUCACGAAUACCACCGCUGUCGGGCCUUAGCAAGAUUUCAUAGACAGACGGGGCUAACAUCCAUCCACCAAAGAGUUACCCAAAACCCUGCCCCGUCCAUCGUCCUUAUAGUUAUAACAGGAGAGUAAACAUGCAACUCCUAUAACUCGUGAGUGACAGGAAAUCACUCGGCUUUUACCGUUUUCCUAGUUAAGCAAUGCAGCUACUCGGUCCAACAGCUAGUGCUCAGAUCACUGGGACAACUAUGUUAUGCACCAAGGGUUUCACCCAACUCCUAUAUGUAAAUGCACAAGCAUGUUACCGAAGGCAUGCGCAAGUCUGGUAAAACACAUAGGAUUUUCAUGCAACCGGGGCUUGCCUUCAAGCAAGGGGGACGGGAACUCCUCGGCUCCGGGAGCGACUUCGACUUCGGAGGACAGGAGCUCGGCUACAGCUUCUUCUUCUGGCGCCGGGUGAAGCUCGUAGAAACCGUCGGCGAGGUGUAGCUCUACACGAAUGCAAUGCAAGGGUUAGCUCAGACAGUUAGUUCAACAGCAACACUGGCUCGCCUGAGCCCAGAAACUCGCGACAAAGAGCAGGAGGCGAUGGUGGUUCGAGAGCUGAGGCUAACCAAAAGGUAAGGGUGGGAAAGGAACUAGUGGUCUGAUCCUUGAACUAGAGGACGUGAGAAACCCGGGGUCCUUAGACGCAAGCGCUGAAGGUUUCCCAAGUUUUACACAUACACCCUCGAGUUGAAGAAAAAGAUCACAGCCAAGCCCUCGGGCGAGGCGGAUAAGGGUCGGCAGAACAGACGGGGUCGGACGAGACGGAACUGAGGUCGGACGGAUAGGAGGGGUCGGGCGAGGCGGACUGGGGGUCGGCAACUCACCUUCUUCCUGAAAGGAAAGCUUGGGGUCGGGAAGGAGCAGACUUGGACGGAGGGACUAAAGCUUCGAGCAGGGGUUAAGACUGGCAAAGCUCCGGCGGCGGCGCUGCUUCUUGCGGAACACAAGAGAGCUCUUACGCAGCACGGGGGAGCAAUCUGCUGGGUGACUUGGAGAAAACUGAGAGAAUCUGAGAGCAGAGCUCCUCAAGACUUGGUGUGUGGCGCUUGGAGCUUGAGCAGGGAGCUAGAGAAAGCUAAGGGCAACAAGAGCGGAGGGAACUCCGGCGACGGGGGCAUUCCUUUUAUAGCUGCUGGGGGUAGAGGAACGGAAACAGCACGGGGAGAGAGAAGGGGAGCGGCGCGAAGGCUGGGGAGAAGCAAUGGAGUGCUCUGCCGUGGCGGCGAUUGAGCAACCAGGGCGGUGCUGCAGAACUCCGGGGGUGACGCCAGCGAUCAUUGCGUUCUGCCGUCAGGGUGGCGUAGGGGCUGGUAGACUGGUGGUUGGGAUUUGGCGGAGAGCGGGCGUCGUCGUGCGAAAGAGGUGAUAGAAGCGACCGGUUAAACGGUGCUAGAAUCGAGGGCGCACAGGUGAGAAGACAGGCGGACGCGGGCGCGGGGGAGAGCGCGGAACAACAGAUUGUCGGGCGGCUUCUGACAGAGCGGGGAAAGGAACUGUCGCGGCCGCGGUCGGGGUUGGCGGUGGAGGAAUCGUCGUGUAGCGACGACCGGGCGGCGCAACUGUGGCUGAAGGGACGGAAAAGACGGGCGACAUCGGUCUCCGGGGCCAGGAUCUGGUAGCGUGAUGAUGGGCGCGGGAGGCGAGGCUCUGCAGAAAGGGGUGCAGAGGGCUUCCACUGCCAUUGGGGAAAAGGGGCGCGGGAACCCACUCUGCUGCUUGCCUGAGACAAAACUGAGCGGUGGCGUCGGAGAAAACGAGCCACGCGGCAAGGAAACUCUGGGGGCGGCCAUGCAACUCAAGUGCGGCUGUCGCGGGGGAUCUGGAAAAGAUCUCACGGGUCCACCUGUGGAUAGAUCUGAUGGGGGAGGGAGAUCAGCAGGAUCCGGCGGGGGCUGAGCUCGUCGGGGUCGGGAGAGGGGCGAAGCAGGAAGGGGUCAGAUCUCAGGGGUCAGAACUGGCGGAAAACUGGGCACUUAGGUGCGGUCAAGCCAAACAGCUGACUAAGGUUAAGGGCAGGGAUUAAGCCUAACUGGGAAGGCUUAGGGGUCGGUCGUUAUAGGUCAGCUUGAAGCUAGACCAAAUAUCGUGAGGCAAAGGGAAUAGCAUGUAUAUUAUGUUGUGAUGGUUCGUCCGAUAUGAUCUUCGUGUGCGUAUAGGAGUUGACACGUCUUGCUAGAGGCCGCUACCGACUAUUGGGCCGAGUAGGAGUACUCGGGCCAUGUCUAUACGUAUCCGAACCCAUAGGGUCACACACUUAAGGGGCUGGAAGCCCAAUUCGGAUCUGAUCCAAGUUGGAUUAGGUUUAGGAGUACUAAUGGGCCCCGGAUCCAGAGGCCCAUCAGGAACCUCUAUAAAUAGAGGGGUGGGGGCGCCCUAGGGUUUACACCUUUUGGCGAAACACAUCUGCCGCGCCUCCCACGCCCUCGCCUGUUGCAACUCGCGGAUCUAGCAGUCCGGCUUGUGACGCUUCCUCCCUGCACGUGUGGAUACCUUGGAGGUGUUGCGCCUGCAGCACUUGGACGAGCCAUCAACGAGCCGCGACGAGCCGAUCUUGCUACACGUGGGAGCUGCUGGACGUGACGUGAUCGACUACGUACGACUACGUGAUCGUCUUCACUGCAUCGACGCAUAUCUACAUCUUCCGCACCAGUAGUGCGUCGAGUGGUAAUCCCGUGAUCCUUAUACGGCAGUUCUUCCUGGUUAUACGCGGUAGAAAUUUUGAUUUACGCUAGUGUAGCCUACCUCGUAUCCCAACACAAAGGCCCUAUCAUCCCAUCCUGGAUCAACCCAGAUCAUGUAACCACAUUGCUUUUUUUCUUCUUGCAAAUUAAAUGCCCCUUUAAAAAUCACCGUUGACACGUAUCUCUCUUUGCCAUUUGGCAAAGCAGUGUGGAAAGCUGUUGAUGCUAUGUUUUGGGUGGUCGACACUGGCAGUGAGCUGUAUAUCAUGGAAUAAUUCUAUGACUACAAGACGGUUGGAGAUCGUUCUAUAGUAGAACAGGUCCAUGAGAUUCAUGCGCUAGAAAAGGACCUUGAGAACUAUAUCAAAGAUGUUCCAUGUGUGUUCUCCAAUAAGUUUGUGGCAUGAGGUAUUAUUACAAAGCUGUCACCUUCUUGGAGGGAUUUUUGUACUUAUCUAAAACACAAGAGAUAGGAGUUAUGGUCUUAUUGGGACUCAUGAUGUUGAAGAGAAGGCGAGAGCAAACGACAUACAUGGCAAAGGAGUUGUUGGAUCAUCUAGUUCCAAUUUGGUGCACAAGAAAAAAUUCACCCACAAGAGGAAGAAGAACAAGGCGCUGCAGAAUCCAACAAAGAUUAAUCAAACAACCACGUUCAAGAAGAAGAAGAAAGGAGUUUGCUAUGUGUGUGAGACUCCGGACUACUUUGUUGCUAAGUGUCCGAACCGCAAGGGCAAGGAAUCUGCCAACAUGGUCAUUAGCAAGGAUGGAGGAACAUUGGGUAUGGUAAUUUAUUCCCUACAGUUCUUUCAGUUUGUCAAUCCCCUGGUGGUGGGUUGAUACAGAGGCUAAUAUUCAAGUAUGUGCUGAUGUUUCCUUAUUUUUCUCCUUAUGAGGUCGGAAGGACUUGCUCCUUGUUGAUGGGGAACGGCUCACAUGCAUGUGUUCAUGGUGUUGGUAUUGUCGAUCUGAAGCUUACGUUGGGAAAGACCGUUUAGUUGAAGAAUGUGGAGCAUAUACCCACCAUCAACAAGAAUCUUGUCAACGGCUCUCUACUGUCUAGAGAUAGUUUUAAAUUAGAAUUUGAGUCCAAUAAAUGUGUAAUGUCUAAAUUUGGUACUUUUAUUGGAAAAGGUUAUGAUAGGGGAGGCUUGUUCCGCUUAUCUUUGUGUGAUGAUUGUAAUAAUGUAGUGGACAAUGUAGUUAAUAAUGUUGAUGAAUCAAAUGUUUGGCAUCCGAGACUUUGUCACAUUAAAUUUGGUUGUAUGAUGUGGCUUGCUGGUUUAAGUUUAACUCCAAAAUUUACCUUAGUCAAAAAUACCAAGUUCCAUGUACUC
rnacentral:lncRNA from 1 species